UCAACUUGAAUUUAUGCUCGGCCAAAGAAAAGGGAAAGGAGAGCUGUACUGGUCCCGAUUGAGGUGGAGAAAUCAGUGGGGGAAACAGGGCCGUCGGCGGCGGCGUGCUGUGGUAACAGCAGAGAUCUCGCCGGAAUUUGUGAAGGAGAGUUUUCUGUUGGGUAGCAAGGAGAUGAUAGUGUGUGUAUGGCAGCGGCCGUAGCUACCUGCUGCCGAAUGAGAGAGAGGGGGAGGGAUCCAGAGAAUGGGAGGUUUGUGCGAGAGUGAAGAAGAAAAAAGUGAAGGGUUUUAGCUACUUACAUUGGCCUGUUUUAGAAUUGGGUGAAGUAAAAAUAGCCCCCGACAUAUAACCCUAACAUAUUUGUCUUUUUAUUUUUUUAUUUUGGAUGUCUCCAAAAUUUUACAAGAAGUGUAAAAUUCUUCUACUAUUUUUUUAUGGAUCCUCAAGUUUGUUCAAUAUUUUUUUAUUUUUUAAGCGUAUCGCAUUCUAUUUAUCAAGGAAGGAUGAGCUUUCUUUAUUUGGUAUUUUUAAUAAAUUUUUAUUUUAUUUGAUAUAAUCUCAAAAAUAUUGUCUUAAGCUUUAUAAAAGCAGAUAAGUUUCGUGCUUAAUUCAUUUAAUACUAGUAUUUUUUUUCAUUGGAUUUUUACUGAAUUUCGCUAUGUUAAAGAAUACUUGUUUCUACGUAUAUGUGAUUAAUAUGAAUAUUAAUAAUUUGAACAAUUGAUAUUUCCAAAAUUCAUGUGUAUUAUCCGUAGAUUCAAUCUUGGGUUCUAAAAAGUUUUGAAAAUGGCCUAAGAGAAUUUUAAGCUUAUUCCCCAACAGUGUUGCAAAUCGCAUCAUAUAUUUGGAUUCACUACUGUUCACAAAUGCAUUCAAAAAAAAAUUCUUCUUCUUUNUUUUUUGCCUUCUAAAAAAACAAGAGUGAGUUUGGUCAGUGCAUUUUAAGAUAAAAAAAGUGUGAGGAAAAAUCUCUUAAAAUAGUAGCUCAGUCCUCUUGUGUUUUCCAAGUUUUUAAACUUGAGAUUUGUGUUUCCCCUAUUUUGUGUAGGGAGAAUUUUGUAAGCCUACUAUAUACAUAGUGAAAGAUUUCUAGACUACGGUCUCGUGAUUUUUUUCAAUUUGGAUUUUCCACGUAAAAAUUCUUGUCUCAUACUUUUCCAUAUUUUGCACCAAAUUUCUUUUUUUGGUUUUGAUCCCAUUUUAUAAUCCAGCAAGAGGGAAAAGAAUUAUCUUGGUUUCGCUGUACAAGUGUCCUUUAUUUUGACACUCUUGAAUAUUUAUCCACCACUUUUCCCAACACUUAAUAUGCAUAGUUUUAUAUUGUUACGACUCCUAUACUUUUAUAUUUUAUUGGGUAUAAGUUGUGAUUGAUAAUGCUAACAACUGCAAUGUUGGUGGAAUUUUUUUUAUGGAGAAGAUGAAUCAUCUUUUAUUGGAUAUUAUUCGCUUUUCAUUCUAUUGAUUUAAUAUUGGAGAAGCUUGGAGAGCUAUUAUAACGUAAGAAUGUAUUUAUGAAAGUAAGGAAAAUGAACAAUUUUAUCUACAAUCAUAAAUUGAUGUUAGCACUAAUAAGAAAACACAAAAGAUAUAGAGCUUAUUCGUCUUGCAGCAACUAAAUUUGCUACCAUUUUCUUAACUUUAGAGAGUAUAAUGAAAUUGGGACAAUCUUUAGAAUCUAUGUUCGCAUUUGCAAAUCGGACAAUAAGCACAUGAGCAAAGAAAAAUAAUGGCUAAUGCUCGAGGCCUAAGGUCUUGUAUUCGAAUUUAUCGUGGUGUGAUCAUUAAAUUUUUUUACUCAUUUGUAUAAGUUAUCAAAAAAAAAUGUUAAGUGAUCAACUAUAUACGUUUUAGUUGAACUUUACCUGAUAAAAGUUAUUUGAUUGGAUUAUUAAUUUAAAAAAAAAACUAAAAACAUGUUUAGUUUGCAAUAUUAAAUAGUGCUAAGAUAAUGCAUAUUUAUUUUUGGGUAAAUGUCACUUUAUGUCUCAUCGUUUGGCCGAAUUAUCGAUUAUGUCCCAAUUUUGUGAUAUUAUCUAAUUGAUACCCAAUCUAUCAGCAUUUUUCCAAUUGUGUUCAGUAAAAAGUUUCGGCGCCCGAAAGUUGACGUAGAACGCCAGAAUUGAUUACGUGGAAUUAUAAAAAAAGAAAAAGAAAAAGGAAGACACGUAAUUCAACAUGUCUUUGAAUGGGUCUUCAUCGUUCUUGGUAAGACAUUACUCCAAUCUUAAAACCCUAGUUUCAGAAAAUUGUAAACCAAAUGAGUAGUUCAUGCACAAACUAAAGAAGAAGAAGAAGAAGAAGAAGGGCGUCGUUCUUCUCAUUGCCAACAAAGCGAUUAUGGAACCAGAAUUUGAACUGCCUGGUUUCCAAACAAAGUCGUUUGCUGAGCUCCAGUCUUUGCUUUUCUUCGGGGGUGAGGGCAUACUCCUUUGCGGUAGUGGAGAACAUGAAUGAUUUGGAUGAAGACGAGAGCAAACGCUUCGAGUUCUUGGAUUUGCUGAGGUGUGUGGCGGUGGUAUCGCUUCUUCCUGGGCGGGCGGCCGGAGACCUUGAGAUCAUCUCCGCAUGCGCCGUCCAUUUAUGGCUCUCAGAUAUACUCUCGUGCUCUUCAUCUCUGCUUCUUCUUCCUCCUACCACAUUGCUCGAUUCGUACUUAUCCACCAUUCUUCCCAUCUCUUGCCCCUCUAUUCUGUUUUGCUGCAGAAAAUUAAGCAAGGAUUCGUCAAUUGCCAUGUCUCUGUGGAGAGAGAGUGAGAGAGAUGGGGGUGUGGUGCAUACGAGAGCGAGGGAGAGGCCGGAGGAGUUGAAGCUGGGCUUGGAAGAGAGAGACUGAUGCGAGACGAGGCGAAGCAAUCGCGACGGCGGUGGGAGUUGUGAUGAUGAGUUGUUGGUGUUGGUGUAAGGCAAAUCUGCCGCAAUUCUUGCACUCACACCAUCGCAAGAAUUGUGUUUUAAGUGCCACAUAAGAAUUAUGUCUGCUUUUUUUUUUUAGUUUAAUAAUGCUGGCAAUUUCAAGUGGAUUAAUAAUUCCACGUAUUCAAACUUCUGCAUUCCACAUCAACUCUUGGGCGUUGGAAUUUUUUUUUACGGGACACAAUUAUAAAAAUGUUGAUAGGUUGGGUACCAAUUAGAUAAUAUCGAAAAGUUGGGACAUAAUCGAUAAUUCGGCCAAACGAUGAGACAAAAAAUGACAUUUGCCCUUUAUUUUUUAAUGACAUGAUAUUUUUGUGAAAAAUAAUUCAAAAAAUAAUUCAAAUUAUUUUAACUCAAUGUGUCAAGACAAGCUAGCACAUCAAGUUUUCAGAUCAAAAAAUAAAUGUGAAAUACAAUUAAUAUACUCCCUCCGUCCCACGAAUCUUGACACGUUUGGUUUCGGAACAGGAAUUAAGGAGUUGUAGAUUAGUGUUUUAAGUGUGUAGGUAAUAAAGUAGAAAAGUGAUAAAUUAGGAGAGAGAAGGUGAUAAAGUAGGAAAUAGAAGGUAAUAAAAUAAUAAAGUAUGAGAGAGAAUGUGAUAAAGUAUAAGAGAAAAUAUAAUAAUUGUUACUAUAUUUAUAAACGUGUCAAGAUUCGUGGAACGGCCCAAAAAGAAAUACGUGUCAAGAUUCGUGGGACGGAUGGAGUAAUACUUUAAAGUAAAAAUAAUAUUUUCAAUUGUUUAGAUUAUACCUCUUCCUCCAUCCUAUUGACAAUUGGGGUCGGCCCUCUUUCUCCAUUAGUUACAUAUUUUAUUAUAGUAAAAAAAAUGUUUGGUUUAUUGAUUUUCGUCGAACAUAAUUUAUUGUUAAAUACCAUUAAAUUAUCAACUAUCUAAGUGUAUAAGAUCUCGUCUCCUUUAAUGUAUCUUUUGAAAAAAAAACUCUUCUUUUUCUCUAAAUCGUUGGCCAAUUUCUCAAAAAAUAAAAAUGGAGAAGGUAGUAUCUUGAAUCUACUUUUCUAUACCAUUUUGGAACUCUCCAAAAACAUUCACCAAAACUUAAAAUUGCUGAAAACGUAUUUGAGAUCGUCAAUGUCCCAAAGAAAGAUUGAAUGGUUUGACAAUAUUCUGUAUUGAAAAAGAGAUUUUAAAUAACAUAGAUUUGAACGAUGUUACAGAUGAUUUUGCAAGUAAAAAAAUUAGAGAAACCAUUUUCUUUUAUAACUAAGGGAUAUUUUUUCUUUUUAAAUAUAUUGAAAAGGAUAAUAUAUUAGGGGCCAAUUUUUAUAAUUUCGCUCACAGCCUCACUUUUAUCAGGACCGACCCUGUUGACAAUGAGUCAUUUAUGUUCGAUACAAUUAUUAAGAAAAUGAGUGAUCAAAUGAUAAAAGUGAUCGAAAUUUGUGGAAUUUAUAACUUUUUAUGAUAUAAAGUGUUACUCCCUCCGUCCCACUAUAAUUGGCUCAAAACUUUUCGGCACGGGAAUUAAUGAGAAUGUGUAAAUGUGUUAAAAGUGGGAGGGUCCACAUUUUUUUAAAGGGUUAAACUUUGCUAUAUAUAAAAAUAUGUCACUUUAUAGUGGGAUGAUCCAAAAUAAAAUACAAAUAAUUUUUAAUGGGACAGAGAGAGUAUUUNUUUUUUAUAAUAGACCACUAUCAUUUAUCAAUAGAGUCAAGACAGACGAAAAAUGAAAGUGAAUUAUUAUGUCGGAGAUGAGGGGAGUAAUAAAUACUCCCUCCGUCCCGCGCAAAGUGGUGCGUUUCUUUUGGGCACGAGAUUUAAGGAGUUGUAGAUUAGUAUUUUAAGUGUGUAGGAGAAAGAAGGUAAUAAAGUGAUAAAGUAGGACAUAGAAUGUGAUAAAGUAGGAGAGGAAAUGUAAUAAAGUGAUAAAGUAGGUGAGAGAAUGUAAUAAGAGAGUGAUUAAGGAAAAAUAAGGGGUGUCUAAUUUUUGCCAAAAAAAAAUGCACCACUUUCGAUGGGACAGCCCAAAAAGGAAUACGCACCACCUUCCAUAGGACGGAGGGAGUACUAAAGUACUAUAGUUCAAAAGUAAUUUGAGAUUUAUUUUUAUUAGUUUUAAUAAACCCUCGUCCUUAAGUUAAUUCCUCGUUCUGUCAUUUAUACUGAUACAGUUACUCUCUGCACAGCUGCGCCUCACUCACGCCGCCUACCCUUCUGCGCCGGCGCCGCCUUCCCUUCCCUUCCCUCUCUCGAUUCGUCCACUCGCAGGUCGCAGGUCGCAGGAUCCCUAGCACUAGCAGACACUCGAGCCCCCUGCCCGCUUCCGCUCCCGGCGCCGCCAAUUCCACCCGCUGCUUUCGCCUCCCUGAAUUAGGUUUCUGAUUUUGUAAUUUUUUUUGUGGAUCAAAAGGAUUAACUGUAUAAUUCUAGUUUUUAGCUACGGAUGAUAAUUGGUCCAAUUGGAGGCGCUGCCCUAACUUCAUCCAUGCUUUUCUGCCGCAUUAUUAAUUUAAAAAGGAAGCAUUACAUUUCUAAGAUCUUUGAUUUUGAUGCUUUUUUUUUUUUUUUCUUCACUGAAAUAUCGCUUUCCUCUUUGUACACUAAGACUUUUCCAGAAGAUUCAUUGAUGGAAUUUAAUGUUGGCAAAGGCGUUGAAAGCAGAAUUAGGAAUAUCGAGCACGAGUUUUGGGCGCUGGAGGAGGUAGAUCCGAAGAAGGCGAGAUUCCCUUGCUGUGUGGUAUGGACGCCUCUGCCCAUCGUCUCAUGGUUAGCUCCUUUUAUAGGGCAUGUGGGGAUCUGCAAAGAGGAUGGCAGCAUCUUAGAUUUCUCCGGCUCCAACCUCAUUAAUGUCAACGACUUUGCAUUCGGCCCCGUUGCCAGAUACCUUCAACUCGAUCGCCACCAGGUAAAUUCUCUUUUAGCUAAAUUCGAACACUUCUUGUCUCAGUUUUAAUAGAAACUUUUGCAACAAGGUGCGUUUGUCGGACAAAAGGAUGAGUCUGUUCUUCUAAAUUUGUUCAUACGGUUUUAACCAUGGUUUGUUUCAACAUUUUCUCAGAAAUGUGCCUCCAAAUUUGAGGGGCCCCAAAUUUCAAAAAUAGUUUCAUUUGUUAUAAACCUAAUUGUUUAUAAUUCAUUACAAAAAUAAUUACUAUUUGAUAUUAAAGCUGAAGAUUUAUUUUCUUAAUUGGAAGUGCUGUAAAUGUGUUACCAUCAAAAGUUGAUUGAUAAAGUUAUUGAGUUUGUAAAACUUGGUAAUUUUUCUAGUGUUUCUAUUGCAUAUGAGAUAUUGUUAACUAUACUGGUUACUCUAGUUUUAACAGAAAGAAGAUUUUUAAAAAUUAAAAUUGAUAAAAUCAUAUGGGUUAUACUAUGUUGCUCAAGAUUAAGAGCUUAUAAGCUCUUGAAGCUUAUAAGAUGUUUCAAGAGCUUAUAAGAUGUAAUUUUUAAGAGCUUAUAAGUUGUCAAAGUGUUUGGAUAAUUGAGCUUAUAAGCUAGAGAGUUAAUUUUUUUGCUAGAGAGAGAAAAUCGAAGAAAAAUAAACUUAAAUGAUAUAUGAUGGAAAUAAUAAAUUAUAGUUGAAAAAUAUUUGUAAAAAGAUUGUUGCAUAUGAGAUUAUAAAAAAUUAAGUUGGGGUGGAGAAACUUAUUUUUUGGGGAGCUUAUAAGCUCUUGGAGCUUAUUUUUGGAGCUUAUAAGCUGAUGAGGAACUUAUUUUGUCAAACGAUUUGAAAGAGCUUAUAAGCUCUUAAUCAGCUUAUAAGCUGUUUUGAGGAGCUUGUAAGCUCAGCCAAACACCCUCUAUGUCUCACUAUGUCUCAAGAAAAGUUGAAUGAGCUAGCAAUUUUAUGCAGUAAAAUGAGGUAUUGGAAUUUGGAAACACUUGAUCUCUAAGAUAUUAUUGAUGAUUUACUUCUCAAAAUGCUAGGAGAUUUAAAUUAUUUCAAUAAUUUUUUUGUAAUUGCUUUUUAUUUCAAUAAUAUUAAUGUUAUGUAUCCAUGCAAGCAUGAAAUACAAUCGUGUGCCAUCUCUUGACUCUUGCUGACAACAAAAAUCUCAAGUUCGGGGCCCCUUUUUCAUUUUCGCCUAGGGCCCUCGAAAUGUUUAUAACCCACGUUACAGAAUUCGACGAUAGAAUGACGAAGGUGAAUUCUUCAUUCCAUCGCCAAAUUCUUCAUUCUAAUGAAUGCAAACUUCUUCAAAGUUGGGGAUUUUUAAGGUGAAAACAUGAGUGAAUGACUUUUUCGGGAAACGAUAGAAGUUGGAGAUACAAACUAUGAUUAAACCUUUUUUCAUAUUUAAACGCUGUUGCUCCGUGGUAGUGGUUGACGAGCUCUGGUUUUUCUUGCGACAGUGCUGCUUCCCUCCGAACCUGGUGGAACACAAAUGCAAGCACCGGUAUGUGCAUGCCGAAUUCGGGACGGGGAUGACAUGGGACGACGCGAUCCAGGCAAGCACGCGCCAUUUUGAGAACAAGUCCUACAACCUCUUCACCUGCAACUGCCACUCGUUCGUCGCCCACUGCCUGAACCGGGUCGGCUAUGAGGGCUCGAUGAGCUGGAACAUGAUCAACGUCGCGGCUCUCGUGCUGGCCAAGGGGAAGUGGGUCGACGGCCUCUCUGUGUUGAGAUCGUUUAUGCCGUUUAUGGUGGUGCUCUGCUUGGGUAUAUAUGUGGUUGGAUGGCCAUUUAUAGUAGGUCUCUUUUCCUUCUCUCUCCUCCUAUUGGGGUGGUUUUUGUUGACUACUUAUGUUUUCAAGAACAUGUUAGAUUGUUAGAUGAUUUCAUGUUUUUUUAGUAGAUCGCAUGUUAGAGAUUGUACAUCAUUACAUGAUAUAUAAAAUCACCUUUUAAUUUUUUUGCAACCACGAUAUCUCCAAAUUCUUUUACUAGUAAAGUUAUAAUCGUAAUGUUUUAGAAAGUGUUCUUGUAAUUGUAGUUGUUCAUAAAUUGCUUGAAAUUUCUAAAUUUGAGUAAAUGUUUUUAGAUAGAUUAUAAAAGCGAUUGAAUUCUAGACCUUUUUCCAUAGAGGAAAUUUGUCUCUAGGGCAUUUUUGCAUGAUUCUUAAAGCAUUGUAAUUGUAACAUCAAAUUUUAGUUUCUUUUUUUCAAUUACGUAAAUUUAUCUUAGCCAUAGUCUAUAAUGCUCUAAGAAUUACCUAAUAUUGCAAAUACUUAAUAGGGACAAUUACUUUGCAUGUAUUUCACUCUUUCAAUAGGAUAAGAAUCAAAUAAAACUAGCUUAAAUGAUAUAAACAAUCAAGAAUCUCAGGAUAUUUUAAAGUUUUAAUCCAUCAAAAUAAAUAAUACAUUAAUUUUACUAUUUUUAUUUAUCAAAGUUAAUCUUUUAAAGUAAACGCCCUAUAAUAUUCCAAGUAUCCUAAUACUUAAAUAUUGCAAAUUCGAGUAAAUAUCUUUUACUUUCGACAGCUAACCUCUUUCAGUAACACUCAAACCAAUUAUUGUCGAAAUGGUUGCCAUUCAGUUAUUUUAACCGUGAUCAACAUUUCCAAAAUUCCAAUUCAAGAUGAUCGCAGUUAAAACGGUUUAACAGCGACCGUGAAAACAGCUUCGACUUCGUUCGUUUCGUUUUGAAACGUUGAAUAACCAAAAGAUAUGAGAUGAAACGAUGCAACCGUUGUGCAUUAGCUCAACUACAGAUCGAUAAACACAGUAAAAUACUAGUUUUCACUAUCUGCAGCUCAAGCACCAUAUUUUGGAGCCUUCCAUAGCUUGAACGCUACCUCAUGUAAAAAUCGAUCCACCGGUAUAACGAGGUUCCCGCCAUUCUGCAAGAAAAGUGCGAUAUCAAAAUUUGAGUAAUAAUUUGGUGAUUAAAAUAAACACUAAUCGCCAAUUAUAGAUCAAUUGCAAAAUUGAGCGACUUUGUAAUUAGAAUAAAAUUGAAGGUUUACUUGUAUGCUCUAUUACAGUGCAUCACAUGAAUGACUAUUCUAGCACUUAUUAAUACGAUCAUAACAAAUAGGUGAAUUUUUGAGAAAAGCCAUAGAGAAGUAACAUCACGCAAAUGUCAAAGAAAAAUUAUAAUCUCUUAUCUAAACAGAUCUAAGCCUAACACUAAUCAUUACUCUCUUUGUCCCAUCAAAGAUAAUCCUCUUAUAUUUUCACUACAUUUUAAAAAAUAUAUUUAAUGUUAGUUUAUAAAAUAUUAUUUAUAUGCAAUUGUUUUAUUUAUUUUAGCCUUAUUUAUUGUUCCUAUAUAUUAUCCACAAAUACUAAAUAAAGUUAUUUUAGUAGAAGAAGGUUUUAAAAUAAUUCAAAUUAAGAAACUGACCCAUAACGUGGUACAUUAAAAAAAGGACUACUUCCGUGAGACGAAGAGAGUACAAUUUUUAUUUCUCCCUACCAAUGGUAUAAAAUGAUAAAUUAAACUAGUACUAUCUCAAAAAGAACAAAAAAUGAUAAAAAUAAACCAGGAAAAAUUAGGCUUUUCUCUUUCCCUGAACUAUUAGAUUUAGUUCUAUUUAGCUCUCAGCCAUCAAACUUACUUACUAUUUUUGUUACACUUUUUUAGUGCCUAAUUCGACCUGAUGCCAUUAGAAGUUGAUAGAAGACGCGACCAAAACUAAUACUAGGAAGAUGUUUCGGGAUGGAGAAAGUAUUUUUAUACCCCAAUAAUAAACUUUUUCACCGUUAUAUAUAUACCCAAUGUAUGUGAAUUACAGAACUAAUACCUAUACCAUCAAUGUAGUUUACAAUUAUACCCAUCAUUCGAUUUUCGGGGCUAAACGGUCACAUUUUGACGUAUCACACACUAGUAGUUCCGAACGGUCACAAUUUAGUCCUCAUCACUGAGUCACCACUCAGCCGCCAAAAAUCGAAUGAUAGGGUAAAAUUGUUAACAACAUUGAUAUUGUAGGGUAUUAAUCUAUAAUUCGUUGGGGUACAAUUGUUAAAAAAGGUUCAAACAUUAGUCGCUAUACACAGCACACAAGGUGGAGAUUUAUGCAUGUUUCUAGUUUCAUGAUACUAGCAACAAUUAUGGAGCCAAAGAGUAUAAUACCUCAAGAAAAUCUCUAAACGCGAACGAUUUCGCUGCAUCAACGCGCGUCGCAGCAUGCUGAUACUGGGCUAGUAGCAUUGGACAGUGCUGCCUGUAAAAGGAAUUGGUUAGCUAGCUAGCAUCAUAGUCUUAGUGUUAGAAAACACAUUCCACAAAGACACCAACUUAUACCUAAUAUUUUCCCUUGGUUUCCCACCUUUCAUCGUGUAACUUUGACGCGGGAAAAGGCGUGAAAGUUCACCAACGUCCUUAUUCGUAGCAUUUGAAACUGAGAGUUGUAGAUCCUCGUCUCCCAACGUAGCCCCGUAGCUCAUAAUAACAGACAUGUGCAGCCUAGAGCCGAUAUAACUUUCGGACACCGCCUUGUGUAAGAAAUCACCGACCAAACGGUCUACAAGAUCUAUGCCCUCGACCCCAUUCAUCUUCGAGUUGGCUCCAAUAUGAACGAAAACCAACUCAAAGAUGCUUGAAUCCAAUAUCUUCCCUUCCUGAAAUCCAAGCAGUUUCAACAACUCGGAAGCCAAAUGAGACGACUCAGCGCUGGAACCAGAUAUUUCGUUCCAGGAAUACACUUUGAAGCCAACCAUACCUCCGAAAGACUUCAUACUUGAGUUGUCAGUGACUAAAGCCGCCUUCAUUCCCAUGAACCUGAAAUUGGAAUCAAGAAACAACCUAUAACAUUUGUUUCGUUUAUAGAUAGAUCAAUCGAGCACACAAAACCAUUUUAACAAACGAACCUCUCUGCUACAGAUGGGAAUGCACACUUUUCUUGAGGUGUAUCUUCACGUAUUCCUCUUGCAACCUAAAAGAGGAUUGCAAUAAGCUGUAAGAUUUCACAUUCUCGUCAAAAGAUCAUCACAAAUAGCAUACGUGGAUUAAACCAUUUAGAUCAUCCCAUCUCACCGAGCUUUCAUAUGCUUCGUUUGCAUCAAGCAACUCCGCAAACUCCCUAACUAUCCUCAUAUCCUCAUUUUCUGCAAUGUAAUUCCAAGUAAAUCUCAAUAUUUAAAAUGCAAAAAAUGUCUCCAUCAAACAAGAUCAAGAAAACCACGAGAGAUGCCAAUACUCCCAUAGACAAAAAAACAAGAAAAAAAAAAAUCCAAGCUAAACACAUAGACAAGAGGCACUUCUACACAUACGAAAAACACAAAAAUCGAGCUUUUCCAAGAAUUUGGGGCAACAAAAAAUCCUCACAAUAUCAAAGUUUGAAGGCCUUGUCAAGACCAAGACAAGAUUUUUCACUGACUACAAAUACAGACAACAUAUUUUCUCGUACAAAUCAAACUCCAUUUCUGAUUAUUCUCUCAAAUGAUCAGCUAAAACUAGGAAAGAGCAAUCAACAUAUUUCAAUUGAGUUUGAUAGAAGCUAUCAUUAUUCUCCAAAUAUGCAAAUAAAGUAUAAUUCCGUCUCACAAUCAUCAUUCAAGUUCGCAAUUCCAAUUCUAUAACAGCAAAUGCAGCACCUAAGCAAUCGAGAAUCAACCAGCUCAUUGAAAUUGAAUACAACCAAUCACCAGAAAUAAGCUAAAACCAUCAAAACAAAUAUAAAAUAAAAGGGCAAAAAGUAAAUUAAAUUAAAAAAAAGAAAAAGACACUCUUUUCACAAUGAAAGUGCAAUUGAUUAAAUAGAAGAUGAUUACCUGAUUGAGGCGAAUGAGGGAGGGCGAGGAAGCCGCAGAGGGCCCGAGAAGCGAGAGAAUUGAGGUGGGUCUGGGCCGGGCUCAUGAAUCGGGCCAGCCCGUCACCGUACAAUACGAGGGCUCUGCUCGGCUUGUCUGCCAUCUCUCUCUCUCUCUGUCUCUCUCUGUAUAUGUGUAUGUAUAGGCUCUUGUAUACAAGUGAAGUGAAGUGGAACUGUGGAAGAAUUGCUUAACAAUUAACAGCGACAGUCACAGAGCUUAAAAGCGGUUCGGAUCCGAUGCUCCGCGUUUAGGUGGAAGAACGGUUGGCUUUAUAACACGUGGCGGUGCAACGAAUAUUGUAAAGAAUAAUUUCUUUUUCUUUUUACGAAAGAAUAAUAUUUUCUCUCGGUAUAUAUUAAAAUGGAGGAAAUGAUUCCCUCUCUCGGCAACGAAUCUCAUUCCCGCAAGAGUGAGUAGGAUUCGGUUAAAUCCGAAAAUUCGAACUGAAUCUAACUGAAAUAUUAGUUGGGUUCGAUUAGGGGUGGCACGGUACGGUAUAUCUUAUUAAAUCGACCAUACCUUAUACCUUACCUUUACCUCCGANCUCUUUCAAUAGGAUAAGAAUCAAAUAAAACUAGCUUAAAUGAUAUAAACAAUCAAGAAUCUCAGGAUAUUUUAAAGUUUUAAUCCAUCAAAUAAAUAAUACAUUAAUUUUACUAUUUUUAUUUAUCAAAGUUAAUCUUUUAAAGUAAACGCCCUAUAAUAUUCCAAGUAUCCUAAUACUUAAAUAUUGCAAAUUCGAGUAAAUAUCUUUUACUUUCGACAGCUAACCUCUUUCAGUAACACUCAAACCAAUUAUUGUCGAAAUGGUUGCCAUUCAGUUAUUUUAACCGUGAUCAACAUUUCCAAAAUUCCAAUUCAAGAUGAUCGCAGUUAAAACGGUUUAACAGCGACCGUGAAAACAGCUUCGACUUCGUUCGUUUCGUUUUGAAACGUUGAAUAACCAAAAGAUAUGAGAUGAAACGAUGCAACCGUUGUGCAUUAGCUCAACUACAGAUCGAUAAACACAGUAAAAUCUAGUUUUCACAUCUGCAGCUCAAGCACCAUUAUUUUGGAGCCUUCCAUAGCUUGAACGCUACCUCAUGUAAAAAUCGAUCCACCGGUAUAACGAGGUUCCCGCCAUUCUGCAAGAAAAGUGCGAUAUCAAAAUUUGAGUAAUAAUUUGGUGAUUAAAAUAAACACUAAUCGCCAAUUAUAGAUCAAUUGCAAAAUUGAGCGACUUUGUAAUUAGAAUAAAAUUGAAGGUUUACUUGUAUGCUCUAUUACAGUGCAUCACAUGAAUGACUAUUCUAGCACUUAUUAAUACGAUCAUAACAAAUAGGUGAAUUUUUUAGAAAAGCCAUAGAGAAGUAACAUCACGCAAAUGUCAAAGAAAAAUGAUAAUCUCUUAUCUAAACAGAUCUAAGCCUAACACUAAUCAUUACUUUCUUUGUCCCAUCAAAGAUAAUCCUCUUAUAUUUUUCACACAUUUAAAAAAAUAUAUUUAAUGUUGUUUAUAAAAUAUUAUUUAUAUGCAAUUGUUCUAUUUAUUUUAGCCCUUAUUUAUUGUUCCAUAUAUUAUCUUCACAAAUACUACUAAAUAAAGUUAUUUUAGUAGAAGAAGGUUUUAAAAUAAUUCAAAUUAAGAAACUGACCUAUAACGUGGAACAUUAAAAAAAGGACUGCUUCCGUGAGACGAAGAGAGUACAAUUUUUAUUUCUCCCUACCAAUGGUAUAAAAUGAUAAAUUAAACUAGUACUAUCUCAAAAAGAACAAAAAAUGAUAAAAUAAACCAGGAAAAAUUGGCUUUUCUCUUUCCCUGAACUAUUAGAUUUAGUUCUAUUUAGCUCUCAGCCAUCAAACUUACUUACUAUUUUUGUUACACUUUUUUAGUGCCUAAUUCGACACUGAUGCCAUUAGAAGUUGAUAGAAGCGACCAAAACUAAUACUAGGAAGAUGUUUCGCGGAUGGAGAAAGUAUUUUUAUACCCCAAUAAUCAAACUUUUUUACCGUUAUAUAUACCCAAUGUAUGUGAAUUACAGAACUAAUACCUAUACCAUCAAUGUAGUUUACAAUUAUACCCUAUCAUUCGAUUUUCGGCGGCUAAACGGUCACAUUUUGACGUAUUCACACACUAGUAGUUCCGAACGGUCACAAUUUAGUCCUCAUCACUGAGUCACCACUCAGCCGCCAAAAAUCGAAUGAUAGGGUAAAAUUGUUAACAACAUUGAUAUUGUAGGGUAUUAAUCUAUAAUUUCGUUGGGGUACAAUUGUUAAAAAAGGUUCAAACAUUAGUCGCUAUACACAGCACACAAGGUGGAGAUUUAUGCAUGUUUCUAGUUUCAUGAUACUAGCACAAUUAUGGAGCCAAAGAGUAUAAUACCUCAAGAAAAUCUCUAAACGCGAACGAUUUCGCUGCAUCAACGCGCGUCGCAGCAUGCUGAUACUGGGCUAGUAGCAUUGGACAGUGCUGCCUGUAAAAGGAAUUGGUUAGCUAGCUAGCAUCAUAGUCUUAGUGUUAGAAAACACAUUCCACAAAGACACCAACUUAUACCUAAUAUUUUCCCUUGGUUUCCCACCUUUCAUCGUGUAACUUUGACGCGGGAAAAGGCGUGAAAGUUCACCAACGUCCUUAUUUGUAACAUUUGAAACUGAGAGUUGUAGAUCCUCGUCUCCCAACGUAGCCCCGUAGCUCAUAAUAACAGACAUGUGCAGCCUAGAGCCGAUAUAACUUUCGGACACCGCCUUGUGUAAGAAAUCACCGACCAAACGGUCUACAAGAUCUAUGCCCUCGACCCCCAUUCAUCUUCGAGUUGGCUCCAAUAUGAACGAAAACCAACUCAAAGAUGCUUGAAUCCAAUAUCUUCCCUUCCUGAAAUCCAAGCAGUUUCAACAACUCGGAAGCCAAAUGAGACGACUCAGCGCUGGAACCAGACAUUUCGUUCCAGGAAUACACUUUGAAGCCAACCAUACCUCCGAAAGACUUCAUACUUGAGUUGUCAGUGACUAAAGCCGCCUUCAUUCCCAUGAACCUGAAAUUGGAAUCAAGAAACAACCUAUAACAUUUGUUUCGUUUAUAGAUAGAUCAAUCGAGCACACAAAACCAUUUUAACAAACGAACCUCUCUGCUACAGAUGGGAAUGCACACUUUUCUUGAGGUGUAUCUUCACGUAUUCCUCUUGCAACCUAAAAGAGGAUUGCAAUAAGCUGUAAGAUUUCACAUUCUCGUCAAAAGAUCAUCACAAAUAGCAUACGUGGAUUAAACCAUUUAGAUCAUCCCAUCUCACCGAGCUUUCAUAUGCUUCGUUUGCAUCAAGCAACUCCGCAAACUCCCUAACUAUCCUCAUAUCCUCAUUUUCUGCAAUGUAAUUCCAAGUAAAUCUCAAUAUUUAAAAUGCAAAAAAUGUCUCCAUCAAACAAGAUCAAGAAAACCACGAGAGAUGCCAAUACUCCCAUAGACAAAAAAACAGAAAAAAAAAUCCAAGCUAAACACAUAGACAAGAGGCACUUCUACACAUACGAAAAACACAAAAAUCGAGCUUUUCCAAGAAUUUGGGGCAACAAAAAAUCCUCACAAUAUCAAAGUUUGAAGGCCUUGUCAAGACCAAGACAAGAUUUUUCACUGACUACAAAUACAGACAACAUAUUUUCUCGUACAAAUCAAACUCCAUUUCUGAUUAUUCUCUCAAAUGAUCAGCUAAAACUAGGAAAGAGCAAUCAACAUAUUUCAAUUGAGUUUGAUAGAAGCUAUCAUUAUUCUCCAAAUAUGCAAAUAAAGUAUAAUUCCGUCUCACAAUCAUCAUUCAAGUUCGCAAUUCCAAUUCUAUAACAGCAAAUGCAGCACCUAAGCAAUCGAGAAUCAACCAGCUCAUUGAAAUUGAAUACAACCAAUCACCAGAAAUAAGCUAAAACCAUACAAAACAAAUAUAAAAAUAAAAGGGAAAAAAGUAAAUUAAAUUAAAAAAAGAAAAAGACAACUACUACACAAUGAAAGUGCAAUUGAUUAAAUAGAAGAUGAUUACCUGAUUGAGGCGAAUGAGGGAGGGCGAGGAAGCCGCAGAGGGCCCGAGAAGCGAGAGAAUUGAGGUGGGUCUGGGCCGGGCUCAUGAAUCGGGCCAGCCCGUCACCGUACAAUACGAGGGCUCUGCUCGGCUUGUCUGCCAUCUCUCUCUCUCUCUGUCUCUCUCUGUAUAUGUGUAUGUAUAGGCUCUUGUAUACAAGUGAAGUGAAGUGGAACUGUGGAAGAAUUGCUUAACAAUUAACAGCGACAGUCACAGAGCUUAAAAGCGGUUCGGAUCCGAUGCUCCGCGUUUAGGUGGAAGAACGGUUGGCUUUAUAACACGUGGCGGUGCAACGAAUAUUGUAAAGAAUAAUUUCUUUUUCUUUUUACGAAAGAAUAAUAUUUUCUCUCGGUAUAUAUUAAAAUGGAGGAAAUGAUUCCCUCUCUCGGCAACGAAUCUCAUUCCCGCAAGAGUGAGUAGGAUUCGGUUAAAUCCGAAAAUUCGAACUGAAUCUAACUGAAAUAUUAGUUGGGUUCGAUUAGGGGUGGCACGGUACGGUAUAUCUUAUUAAAUCGACCAUACCUUAUACCUUACCUUUACCUCCGAUAUGGAGAAAAUUCAUACAUUUACCUUACCUUUACCUACGGUAUACCUUAAGUACGGUAUGGAGAAUAUACAAAACCUUUACCGUACCUUUAUUUCGGUAUACCUUACCGAAUUUCGGUAUACCAUACUUUCACGGUAUACCGCACUUUAACGGUAUACCAAAAUAAUCGGUAUUAUCAAAAUUAAAAAAAUUCAAUUGGUAUACCGUACUUUAUAUUCGCAUACUUGUAUGCAUUCAUGUAAUAUAUAGUAAAUUAUAUAAAUGUUAUAAGUUACAUAUAAUUUAUAUGUUAGAAGUAAUAUUAUUUAUAAUAUAAUACUAAUAUUAUAACUAUGCUAUUAUAUAUGUAAAUAUUAUAAGUUAGAUGUAUAAUCUAUUGUAAAAUAAUAAUUUUAGUUAUUGUAGAGGCUAAAAUCUACAAUUGAAGUUGACGUCUGCACGUUCGGAUAGAUUGGGCACUAGCAACCUGUCAACACAAGAACACGUAAGAGCCUUAGGUUGAGCACCGGGUGGGGGUGUCGACCGUAGAGCCUCCGACGCUCAAGUCAGUAAUGGAAUAACAAAAUAGAAUGAUAAGCAAAUUGAAAUAAGAGAGAAAGGCAGGCUGGAAUGCUUGGUUUUUCCAGGCUGUAGGCGGCGUCGGAGGGUGGAAACGGUGACAGUGAGUUGUGAUAAUGGAAUAUUGGAGGCGGCGAUAGGCCAAGCUGGCUAUUUCCGGUUUGGAAGAGAAAUCAGCCUGGCGGCAGAGUAGAGAGAAUUUAAGGAGUCGAUAGCAAGUAAGAUUUUUUCGUCUGUCCUUGUGACCUAGUCGGUCGGUCUAUAUAAAGGGCAGCCAGCCGCUAGGGUUUUACAAGCUGACCUUAUCCGUCCACGCCUUCCACUUCCAAGUUGUUGCGAUUUGGACGGGAUCAUAAAGAUUCACCCUUUGACUGUGUCAGUUUGGCGAAAGAUAUUUCUUAGGGUUGAUGGCUAGGUCAUGUGACUUCGUCAACAAGGAGGGCGGUAACCCUUGGGCCGGAUGUGAUACCUUCGGUCUGGUUAUCGAUUCAAGUUGAUCUAUAGCUGUUUGGGCUAGAUGGACCAAUAUGUUUGACUGACUGGGCCUUUUAGGGUCGUGCCAGAUUGGCGAGCUAGCUUGACGGAUUGACUUGAUGGGCCAGGCUGAGUGCGAAUUAUUCAGCCUGACGGUUCAGACAGGUUGGUCUUGAAGUGAAGUAUUCAACCUGGGUCAAUCCAGUUAGGCCUUUCUAAUUUGACUUAUCGGGCUGGGCUAACAAGUUUUCUUAAGUAAUUGAACUAUCAUCGUUAUCGACCCAAGUUGGUCCGAAGCUUGUCGGACUGGAUGGACCGGGUUGCUUGACUCAUUGGUCAGCUUGAGAUGUUAAUUGGGCUUGAGCCAUGUUGACGGAUUUUGCCCACUACAGUUAGCCCCCCACUCUUCAAUUAGAAUUGUCUAAUUGAAGAGUUAUUCGAUUAUAGUUGUUUCGUAUAGGUGAACUUCAGACUGUCUCGGUUGGUAGAGCCAAUCGGUUUGUAAAAAGACAAUGAUUCAAGUUGACAUUGACCAGCUAUUCAAAUGGCCAAGAUGAAACGAAUUAUGAUAUUUGCCUCGAAUUGGAGGAAUACUAAUGUGGGCCGAUACCAGCCUGUAGAUGCCUAAGCCAAUGAUUGAAUAUCGACUUGUAGAUGUGUGAGCCAAAAAUUAAAAAUCAGCCUGUAGUUAAGUGAGUCGAGAAUUAAAUAUCAGCCUGUAGUUAAAUGAGUCGGGCUGAGUCUAUUUAAUUGUAUGAAAUUUGCAUCGUUUAUCGGCGUGGAAUUUUCGAAAUAGGGACACCGGCCGUGAAGGUAGAUUGCGUUGAUCAAUUCAAAAUCAAUUGAGCCUGUAAAUACGUGAGCCAAGCUGAACCCAUUUGUUAACGUGGGAUGGAAGUGCCAGCAUGUAAAUAUGUGAGUCAGGCUGAACCUGUCUGUCAACGUGGGAUGAAAGUGUCAGCAUGUAAAUAUGUGGGCCAAGCUGGACACGUUUGCCAACAGAAGCUGAAAUAUUACAUUGACAAAUUGAGAUUUUCUUUUCUCUCUUUUUUUUUUUUGUAAACAUUGAUGGCGACGGUGCUGCAAUUGAAAGGGGGACGAGAUAAAAGUGAGUCCAAGCGGUGAUUUCAACGGGUGGCUCUUUCUCUCUCUACCGCUGCUCGAUCGAGAAGGGAAAUGGAGAACGGAGAAGGCGAAGAUGGAUACGGUGCAGCAAAUUGAGGAGAUGCGGAUGGAGAUGGAGUUGAAGAGGAUGGAGAUGUUGCUCGAGUCUGAGCAGAGGAUUGUCGAGGCAUUUGCUCAGGCGAUAUCCGAGAUAAGUACCAAACGGGCGAAAAGAAAUUCGACUACACCGGGUUGAAAUCAAGAACUGUAGUAUGGUUGAGUAGUGGAAGUUUUGUCAUGAAUUGAGCAGAGGCGUUGGAGGAAAUUGGUUGCUGCUGCAUUCAGGUUAGCCAUGAGGUUAGCUGCAUUCAUUGCCGCUGCUGAUUCAUGGAGCGAAGGAGACGAGCUGGAGGAGUCUAUUCGAGUGGCUCUCUACCGAAAACUCUGGGGCGGCGACAGAGGCCAAUUAGAUAGGUUCUUCUGGCUUCCUUUUGAGGAGUUAGCUUUCUAUGCUUGUCCAAAAUAUUUGGAGUAAAUUCGCGACUUUCGGAUCAUCUCAUAUGUUGUCGGAUUGUAUUGAUACAGCUAUAUGUGGUGAAAACAUUCCGUUUUUGUUCAAGUGAUUAUGUUCCAGCCCGGUGGCACUGUUGUAUCCCGUAUAAUGCUAUUGAGAUUUAUGGCGUUUAUUAGGGCCAUGGGAGAUGAGUAUUUGCAUAAGGUCGUGAUUCAUUUUUCAUGAGAUGCAACUUUGAGCAAAAUUUACUUUGUUUUGGUAUUAAACCAUUUGCUUAUUGUUUGUGCUCAUAUCUUUCAAGCUCUUUUUGCUCUAUAUGCGUAUGCGUCGUGUUCUGUGAAAUAAAUUAAAGGGCGUUAUCAGCCAUUGUGUAGCAGCUGAGUUGGCCUAUUUAUGAGUAGAGUCGCAGCUUAGUAGAAUAGUCUAUUCUCAUCUCUACAAUCUUGCUUGAUUUUAGUAAAUACACAAUCUUUUCAAAUCUCUUCAUUUUCAACUUUUUGGUAGUUGAAUAAGCUUAUUAACAUUAUACUAUAGGAGCUCUUUUGCCUUUUAUGGAAAAUAGCAACAGCAACAGCCUAUAUCUCACUCUCCCUUCUUUUACUCUUCNUUUUCAUUUUGCUUAGUUGUGAGGGAGUGAGCAGCCGUGGCAACUUCGCCGGGGGUCAAAACUGGAAGGAUUUGGUGAGGCUUAUAGCUGUGUUGUUGCUUGAGUCCAGAUAGCAGAUAGAGAUCAGGGUCAGGAGGGGGUCGAAUCUAGAGGCUUGCCGGAGUCUUUGAAGGUGAGUAUUGUUCACUGUGAAUAGCUUGGAGAGAUUAGCUCGGGAAAGAAGGGCUAAGAAGGAACGAGAUCUUGAGAGAAGGCUAUAGGCUUCUUUUGUGCAUCUCUUGUUGAAGCUAUCAUUUUGUUGGGUAUUUGCAGGAGCUAGCGAAACCAAAAAAUGUCGAAUUUUAGAUUUCAUAGCGUAUAUUCUCUUUUUGAAUUUUUGUUCGCUGUUUCCAAGUAUCACCAAAUGAAGGUGCAAAGGCUACGAGUAUGAAUUAGCAACUGUUUAGUUUCAGCUGAUCUUUGAAUCUGAAUCGUUAUCUGAGCUUUGUGUUGAUUGUGCUCUGCCAUUGUUUGAAUUUGGACUGCAAUUCAGUUUUUGUCUUUCUAUCAUGAGUUUUGGGCCCAUGUAGAUUUGGGAAUACUUGUAUCUAGUAGCAGAUAGGUCUAUUGCAUUGAUUUGUUUAUGCAAGUUCUUGCAUUCUUCUGUUUGAAAGUCUCUUUUAACACUAGAGACUUGUAUAGUAGCUAUUAUAUCCUGGAUGUAUGUUCUACUUUCUUGCUUAAUCGUCUAAUUUUCGGCUGGUCGUUCCCUUAUUUGCUGCAUUCUUGGUGCCAGCAAUCUGUUAGCCAAUAGAACUCUCAACUCCAUUCCGUUUAAAUUUGCAUGUCGUCAUUAUUUUGAAUCGUUCUGAGUGCAGAAAUUUCAGAUGUUGUAUCGUUAUUUCUUCUUCUCGUUGCAAGGUUAUUUGUUAUUGUCGGCUUAUUAUUUUUUUUUUGUAUUGCAUCGUUUAAGACUUGACUAUUUGGCUGACUUCUCAGAUUGGCAUGUGCCUGUUUUAUCUCCAGCUUGAACUUUAGACCAUUGGGUCAGUUUGAGCUAUUUAUCUUAUUAGGACAUUUCAUUUGUGAAUUUUCAGAAAGUCGACAUUGCUAGAUAUCUGUGAGAUUUGCCUUAUUCCAUAAUUCGAUGUGCUUUGCUGAUACAUGUGCACAUGUUUGAAUAUCAUAUUUGAUGAAGUAAUCACAUUGAUUGUGAUGGCUUCAAUGUAGGGAUUAAUGCAACGUAUUGCAGUUUGUAUAUUUAGAAAUCAACAUGUCAAAGAGAUGCAUAGACACGACAUGUCCUUAUAUUUUCAUUUCGAAUUUUCCAGCCUGAAAUUAAUGUUGGACAAUUUUAUUGCAUCUAGACAGAACCAGGCUGGAUUCAUAUGUGUCGCCUUGUAUGUGAUUUUGAUAUGUAUACUUGUAUUUAUUCUGCGUAUAAAUCCGUUUAGGGCAUAUAUGAGCCUUAUUGAAAUCAUGGAUUCAAUAUCAUAUGGAUUGACAUAUGAGCCUUAUUGAAAUCAUGGAUUCAAUAUCAUAUGGAUUGACACAAUGUAGCUUGUAUAUUCGAAAGAACACCAAUAUGUCGAAGAGAUGAAUAGAUGUAUGUUCGAAAGAACACCAAUAUGUCGAAGAGAUGAAUAGAUGCAGCUUGUCCUUCUCAUCUUCAUUUUGUUGUACCAGCCUGGACCGAAUGAUGGAGAGUUUAUUAUUUUUGAGCAAGGCCAAGCUGGACUUUGAUUUUCUUUUGGUUAUACAAGUUGGACCGGAUGUUGGAGAGUUUAUUGNUUUUUGAGUAAGGCCAAGCUGGACUUUGAUUUUCUUUUGGUUAUACAAGUUGGAAUCGGCUGACGUUGGCCAACUUGUGAUUUUGACCUGGGCAAAUUUGUGUUCCCUAUCUUGGCGUGUUAGUUGAUUUAAUGCUUUCAUGCAACAUGCCGGCUUGGGAUUAUUUUUGAAGCAAAAUAUGGAAUCGUAGAGUUGUUGGCUCUAAAUUGUCCAAGUCAAGUAUUUCCAAUUGAAGCAAGUUGGAAUUCAUUAGAUGAGUCGUACUAACUUCGACCAACUGUGGCUAGUACCAUGUGGACAUUUGAACAAGUGGCUAAUUCUAGCUUAAAAAAAAGAUAAAUAUUUACAAACUUUUUUACUAUUUCGUUGAUUGCUCCAAGUUGGGUGGUUCGUUCAACUGGAUGACUAGAGACCAAUGGUCUUGAAUUUCAUGUUGUGAUGAUAUUUCUUUCCUUAAUGAUACAGGUUGAUCUUGUCCGUGUAGAGGAGUCAUCAUUGGCGACUUGUAUCUCGGAACAGGCUGAGACACGUCGAUUUGAGGUUGGUGGCUGCACUUCGGAGAGUUGCCUACAUAUAUCUUACGAGGAUCAAGCCAAAUGUAGUUCUUAGGCCGGUUGCGGCUGGUUGGGCGAAUUCAUUGGCAAACAACUGACCCUGGGUGAACUCUCUCGGACCGUGUCCGUCUGAUUGGGUUAACUUGGGUUGGUGGGAUCAUCUGAUUAGACCCCAGUGUGGUGGGUUGUAUGCCUCCUAUGACGGCAUUGCUCAUUGCCACGUCCGGGGUGGUAAAGUUGGUUCAGACAGGUUGUUCCCCAGUGAUGGUGCUCCAUCUUGUUGUAGUGUUCCAGUCGGUCUGGCGUCUAAGUAGAAUUAGCCAAGUUCACGUGCUUGCUCCAGUCGACGUUGUAAUGUUGGCACCGAAGAUGACGGAUCGUCAGAAAUAGUUAUACAAGUUGGCAUUCUCCACUUCCAACUUCUUGCAUAUCUCCCGCUCCUGAUUCAUAUGUUCAGUCAGGGCGGCGAUCUAGGCGGCUAGGUCAGCUUGAGUAGUUUGAGCAACCACGUGGGGUGCGUCAGAGUUUCAGAUCCGUCGCGACCGUCAAAUAUGAUUGAUGCUCGUAGAGAUCUACGGAAAGUGCGUUGAUUCGCUUGAUUGCUAGGGCCCCACGGUGGGCGCCAAAUUGUAGAGGCAAAAAUCUACAAUUGAAGUUGACGUCUGCACGUCCGAAUAGAUUGGGCACUAGCAACCUGUCAACACAAGAACACGUAAGAGCCCUAGGUUGAGCACCGGGUGGGGGUGUCGACCGUAGAGCCUCCGACGCUCAAGUCAGUAACGGAAUAGCAAAGUGGAAUGACAAAUAGAUUGAAAUAAGAGAGGAAGACAGGCUGGAAUGCGUGGUUAUUCCAGGCUGUAAGCGGCGUCGGAGGGUGGAAACGGUGACGGUGUGUCAUGAUAAUGGAAUGUGGGAGACGAAGAUAGGCCAAGUUGGCUGUAUCCGAUUUGGAAGAGUAUUCAGCCUGGCGGCGGAGUAGAGAGAGAGUUCAAGAAGUAGAGAGCAAGUAGGAUUUCGUGUUUUUCUUUGAUGACCUAGUCGGGCUGUUUAUAUAGGAGACAUCCAGCCGCUAGGGUUUUUACAGCCUGGCCCCGUCAAAACCUUCAUCCCUCCGGUUGUUGCGAUUUGGACGGGAUCAUGAAGAUUUCCCUCUGACUGCGUCAGCUUGGUGGGAGACGUCUUUUUAGGGUUUGACGGCUGGGCGACCUUUUCUAGGGUUUUGACGGCUAGGUCUUGUAACUUCGUUAAUCCAGGUCGGCUAUAACCCUUGGGCCGCAUGCGAUAUGGCUAGAAUGGUUCUCGAUUUUAUUUGAUCUAUGGUUUUUCGUGCUAUACGUACCAGUAUAUAUAUAUAUAUACUUUUAUAUAUUAUAUCAAACUAUAUAUAUAUAGGUGGGCUAGACUGAAUACAGUCUUAAUGUUUAGUUAAGUUUGUAAUUAAAUGUUGAUAGACAGUAUGAAUUUAUCCAACAGAGUUACGAAUUGCGAAAAAUAAAUUUUUGUUACCUUUGAGAUUCGAACUCAGGACCACGAAUUCAUCCAACAGGGUUACGAAUCAACCGUAGAUCUUGAUGAUCUAAGGGCUGAAAAUCAUUUAUAUUUUAUACACUUAAGAGUGUUUUUAUUCUAGCCCUCCAUAUAUGUUUUUUUUAUCAUAUGUUUAUUAGAGAUAAAAAAAAUGAGAAAUGUUGAAAAAUAUUUUCACACCCUAUCUUAGAAUAAUAUUAUCCAACAUUGGAGAUAAAAUGGGUGAAAAGGGGCUGCCCGAUAAAAUAUUCCACCAUGUCCAGGAAAAAAAGUUCCAUCAUAGUAAACAUGUAAAAAUGACAGAAAAUGAGUGAAAAUAUAUUUUCUCUCUCAUUUUUCAUCAAAGUAAACGCACCCUUAUUUGUAAAGUACGAUUAUGUUAGUUUUUCAUAAUUUUUUUAGGGAUUUUUUUUUCAUAAAUAUUGAAAAUAACCCCGUUAUUCUCAAUAGGAUUUUAAGAAAACUCUUGAAUUUAGAAUUAAGUCAAUUCACACUCCAAAAAAAAUGCUCUCAAUUUCAACAAAGAAUUUAUUAAAAGUAUAAAGCAAAAUUGGAUUUAAUUGAAUUUUUUAUGGUUUGCAUAAUGCCCUUAUGAAAUUUUCUACAUAAAAAGAAGUCCUAAGUAGGGCUGGUAACCGGUCCGGUUUGGUUAAAAUCGAAUCGAUUUACCAGUUAAGCGGAAUCGAAUAAGAGGCAUUUUGGUAACCGGUAAUCGAACCAGUUAAUACUUCGGUUAACCGAUUAAUACGCUAAUUUCUGAAUUUGUUCGAAAAACCCGUUAACCGAAUUAACCGGUUUAAUUGAGGCAGAUUAUGAAAUUCAAAAAAAUUCAAAUUUUUAAAAUGUGAGCAAUAGUAUUCGAACUCUUGACCUUUGGAAAAAAGGAUGAAGUUUUAUCCACUCCACCAACUCAUGACUUGUGAUUAAUUAGGAUUUUUGAAAAUUUAAUAUAAAAAAAUAUAAAUUAAUUAAUUUAAUAAAUUUAAACCGGUUAAACCGAUUAGCUGGUUAACUGAAAAUACACUAACCGAUAACCGAACCGAACCGGUAAAAAUCGAUUAUCGAUUAAUCAAUAAUCGAUUUUUUUCAUUCGAUUACGAUUUUAACUGAAAAAUCGGCACCGGUUUACCAGUUCUAGUCCUAAGGAAUUUAGAUUGCAUGAGAGUUUGGACUUUUUGAGUUGGAUUUAAUUUUGAAUUUGGGUCAGGUUUGACCAAUGAUAUCUUUUUGUAAGCUAAAUUCAUCAAUAAGCAACAUGGACAUAUUAAUUCCUUCAUGAGCAUAGGAGCAUGGGCUAUAAGCUCUAUCAAAAGAGCAUCAAACUCUUUAAUAAGCUGCAUGGUAGGCUGCUAAUUUUGGACAUGACACAAAAACACGAUAUAAAAUUAUACGAAAUUAAUGAAUUAGUGUCAAACCUGAUAAUGACACAAUAAUUUUGUGUGGGGUUCAUGUAACCCAUUAAAAUUAAUAUUAUUAUUUUUAUUAAAUAUUUAUUUUAAUUCUUAUUUUAAAGUUAGGAGUUUUGACCUUUUGAAAACCUUUUUUUUUUCUUCUAAUCACAUUCUUUGUUUUGCCGUCAAACAAUACAAAAUGUAUGAUUCAGCAUUUAUUUUAAUUCUUAUUUUUAUUGCAUUUCUAUCGGUUGUAUGUAAUCAUAUUUUAAUUAGAUCGUGUCGUUAUCGUGUCAUGUCAACACGAUUCAAAUCGUGCUGCUAUCGUUUUCGUGUCAUGCAUGUGUGUUUGUGUUUGUGCUUGUGUUUGUGUUUGUGUAGAUCGUGUCGUGUUCGUGUUUGCAUCUAGCAAUUUUUUGACAGGUCAUGUUCGUGAUUGACCUUAUCGUGCCGUUUCGUGAUCGUGUCGAUCCGAUAACGAUCCGACACGCAUGAUUUGUCAGCCUUACUACAUGGGGCCAUGGGCAUAUUAACACUUCAUAAGCAUAAGAACAUGAUUAAUAAGCUUUUGAUGGACAUAGAAGCAUAAUCUCUUUAAUAAGAAAUACAAACAUAUUAGCGAUUUGAUAAGUAAAGGGCAUCAAGUAUAAGCUUAAUGAUAACAUGAACGUAUAAGCAUUAAUAAUCUCUUGAUAAAUCAACAGAAAUAUGUUAGCUCUUUCAUAUAGCAAACACAAGUACAUAAGAGCAUUGAGUUCAUUCAUCUAGCACCACGGACAUAUUACACCUUUCAUAACAUAAGAUACAAUCUAUCACAAGCACACGCCUUCCAUAGCUCACUAAUCGAUAUGUAUACCUGAGAUUUUUUGUCUCCCAUAAACACAAAGACAUGAGCAUUAAACUAUUCAAUAAGUUACAUGGACAUAUUUGAGUCUUUGAUAAACACACACACACACGCAUUUUAUUAAACCAAGAGAGAGAGACGGAGAAAUGCCGUGUUUUAGCGUAAGAUAAGAGAUGGGCUGAUUCUUGACUUCAGUUGGGCCCAAUUAUUUUAAUGCAUUUAAGCUGCGAACCGAAUAUAAAUUUGACCACAUGAGCUCAGUUCACCAUUUUUCCUUUCCUUAUUUUUAGGGUAAAGACUGUUGGAACAAAGCUACGUCAGAUGCUCAGCAAAGAAAAGAAGCAGCAGGCUGAAGUUGGAGAUGCACGCCAACUGUUCGAUGGAAACCCUGAACCUGCAAAACAGAGUAGAAGAAGAGAAACAAGAACCGAAACUGUGUCGCGGCGCACCGCUGCCUUAAAAGCUAUCUCGGCAGACCCUCCGGUGUCAAGUCUCGAUGUUGAAUGCUUCCCAAGGUUAACACAGCAAUCCGUCAAUUACGUGCACUCAUAGAAGACGGAGUGGAGACGCUUUUAUUGAGAGUGAAGAAAGAAUAAGAGUAUGUGGUAUAUUAUGGAAGAAAGUAACAGCUCUUGUUUUUGAAGUGGGGAACAGAACUCUCUCUGUUCGUGUGUUUUCGUUUUCAGCAGAAGAAGAAUAAAUAAUGGUUUAACCCACUAUCCCAUUUCAAACGUUAGUUGCUAAUUUUCAGCACAAAGAAUGAGUCUAGGGCACAUUAAAAUGAGCAGAUAUGGGCCAAGCUUUUAAGCCCAUUAAAUGGCUUUUAUGGGCUGAAAUGUUGUGUUUCAUCUCCGUUCAACAAUUUCCCACUUUCCUAUUUUAGGGUAAAGACGUGCUCAUAGAUUAAGAAACGUCCUCCGAGAUCAAGUCACAAGCCAACGAGGAAAAUCAACAAUCCAACAAAUUAAUUGGUUGCUGACAAGAGCGCCCAAAAUGCGCAAGACUAUGGGCUACAAUAUAUAUAAUUAAUACUAAUAAGCAAAGACGAUCUGUCUCCAUAUAAAUUAAUAAAAGAGCCGAAGCAAAAGUUUAAAUCUGUAUUCAAGAAAAAACAUAAUAACAAUAAUAAGACGCUGCUAAUCUUCAUGAUUGAACUCUUCAAGCAAACAAAAAAGCGAGGGUUAAGUAGAUUACGCUACUCGUUAAUCUAUAGGGCGGCCGGGGUAAUACAAGGCCUACUAUUAUUAUUGCUACUGCUAAUAUCAUCAUCAUUAUAUUAUUUUUUAUUACUACUUUCCAAGAAAAUUAGAAUUUUGAUCCCAUAGUUGGUUGCUCUUUCCUCGUAGUCGUAUCGCAUAUUUUGAGCUUCUUGUUGAAGGGAUUCUCUUGUUUAGCAAGAUCCUCAAGGCUCUUCACAUCUGAUAAGCUUGUGAAUGACUGCGACUUCCCAUUGUAAUGCUUCGAUAGCCCUCUCCUAUACAUAUAAAUACCAAAUAAAUCAAUCAAUCGAAAAAAAAUAUUUCAAUACUAAUUCCUCGCGUCAUUCACUAAUUAAGCACAAUCAAAUAGAUAAACAAAUUUUGUAAUAUUAAUCUAACAUUACUUUCUAUAUGCUUUCUCGAAAAAUAAAAUAACUUACUUAAAUGGGAGUUGUAAGAGUAGAGAAGACAUAUCUUGCAAGGGGGUAGGAGAAGUAGAAGACUUCACUUGCUCAUCUUCUUCUUCAUUUGUACAAGUUGAACUGCUGCAAGAAGCGGAAACAUCGGGGCGGCGCCGCCGCAGUAGAAGAUGAUCUUCAUUCAUCAUUAUUUGAGGGCCGAUCGAAAGGGACUCCAUCUCCAUGUAGAAGAUUAUUUCCUUCUUCUUGUUCCCAACUUUUAACUAUAUAAAACAUGGAGUAAUGUAUUGUAUACAUAUAUACUUUUUCGGAGCAGAUAAUUCUAGUAAUUAAUUUUGUAAGUUAAUUCAAUAUGAUAUAAAUGCAGUGGAUUUUUAUCCAACUUUUCUUGGGAAAUUUGGGAUUGAUGGAUAUAGACACAUGGACAACAGGGGUAGGGGGAAAACGAUAAGGUCAGGACUAGCUUCUUUUUUUUUUUUUUCUGUUAUGUUUUCUUUAAUUUUUUAUUUUCCCAAUUAGUGAUCUCAUCUCUACCGGAAUGUCGGCUUGCUAACUCUUUAUUUUUGUAUUUUCAAGAAAAUAAAAUGAAAACUCAUGUUAGACAAUUUAAAAAAUUUAAAUUUAAAUAACGAAUCAUCGACAUUUACCAAUAUUUGAAUUAGGAUUAAGUGGAAUAUGGCCUGGGCCCCAGGCUACCGAGUUUUUCUUUCUUAAUUUUGGGUAAUGAGUAUUUCUUAAAAUGAAAUGAUUUUUUUAGAAAAGAUUUCACAAAUUUUAGUCUAUGAACGAAAUUUCAAUAACGAAAAAAUAAACCAACUUGUCAUUGCAUGGAGUAUACAUAUAUAAGGUGGAAAGUAUUAGAAUAAAUUUGUAACCACAUUAUUCCAUUUCAAUCAAUAUAAGUAUGUCCAUUUGAGAGGUGUUUACUUUGAAUGAUAAGAUGGAUAAAUAAAAAUAAUUCACAACAAUUUACUAUUUAAUUUGAUAUCUUAUUAUUUAAAUACUCAAUUCUAUGUAUAUUUUAUCAAUCUACAAUAUCACUAAAAAUAAACAUCUCUUUAUUGUCCAUUUCAUAUGAGAAACAACUAAUUAAUUCAACUUUGCAAUACUAAAAUUUCGAUUGGACGUUCAAAUAAAAUCUUUUUGCAGAAUUCAAAUUUUUUUACAAGAAACAAAAGUUACCAUUAUUUGAAAAAGAUUACACCGAACCAUAAAUUAAACUACACUUAAUUCUCGCAUUUAAAUAUAGAUCUAUAUGAUCAUACUACAUGGUUUUGCAUAUUGAGUUGGGUGGAUUUUUAAAAUGGAAUAUGGAGAUAGUAAUUAUUAUUGAUAAAAACCAGCAAGAUUUGCAACGUACAACUUGAGAUUCGACGUUAUCCAAUUAUCUAGUUGAGCAUCUGUCCCACAAUGAAUGAAAUGAAUAAACAAACAAAUGGAAAGUCGUGGUACGCACACUCCCCCGUGUGGAGUCUAUGAAAGAACCAUAUUAUGAUAUAUAAUUCACACUGUUAGUAAUUUAUUUCGAUUAUCAAACGAAUACAUAUAACAAUCAAUGUGCUUAUUGCAAAAAAAUAUAAAAUUACUUGUAAAUUCGACUAUAAGCGACUCCAGAGUGAAUCUUUCGACUUGUUUCCCACGACAAGACUUGAUCGUUGGAUGACAACGAGCUUCAAGUCCUCUCCACCCCAGGAAUAGCGUCUCCUUCUCUCUCUCUCUCUCUGUUCUCACAUAAUUCUCCCUUUUUUGGUUUUGCAUGAAUGCAGAAGUAAUUAAGUUUAGAACUUUCUUAUUAUUUAUACUAGGUAUUAAUCAUACCUAAAUAAUAAACCAAUAAACUUAAUUAAACCAAACAAAGCUCAAAGGCUUAAGAGAGAAGGGGACGCCCCCUAUGAAGUAAAGCAUUUAUUGGGCCAAGCGGGGAUCUACCAGCUUGAAUAAAGUUUGAAUAAAGGCUUAAUCAGUCGUUUAAUAAUAAACGACAUCUCGAGUGCUACCACUUAAACUUAUUAUCGUAUUAAAACUAAUUCCACUUGCAUGGUUUAAUACGAUAAACUUAUUAAGUUCCUCGAGGGGAUAUUAUCAUCCUGUUAUUAGCAGGACACAGAUCCUUAUUGCAAUAUAAUCGCAUGUCAAAUAAUAAUUGCUAUCACCCAAAGUAUCGAGUAUAUUGAGCUUCAAUAGAGCUCUCACCCUUGAUAAAUCAAAGCAAUAGUCAAUUAAUUAUUUACACCGAUUAAUUCAAUUAAGGUUAAGACUAUUUAAGUCACCGAGAUCUCGAUUCUUAAUAAGUCAGAUUAUAAGAAUUCAUCUCACUGUGAUCCUGUUCAAUACACAAGUGUACUAGCAUAAAUAAAUAGCCAAGACAAAUUAUUUAUCCAUUUAUGCUACAAUCUAAACCAGCAACUCGUGCAUGGUUGCCUCGAUUGUGAACUCAAUUUAUAUCUCAACUUUUUUCGAUUAUAUGAUCUUUUGUGAUCUACAACACACCAUAAAAUUUAUAGUAUGAGAUAAAUUGGACUAUUAUAGAAUUAUGCAAUAACAAUAUUUCAAAUAGAAUAAUCGCAGUGAACUAAGGAAUCAAUGUAUACAAGCAUAAAAAUCUUACUUUCAGCAUACAACCCUUCAGUGUGGCAUGCAGCAAUGUCUUUAAUUUUUGGUAAAGCCGUAAAUAAAAAGAGUUAGACGUAAAUUAUUCGAGACUAAACUUAAAAAAGAUCAUUGGUAAAGCCGAAAAUAAAAAGAGUUAGACGUAAAUUAUUCGAGAUUAAACUUGAAAAAGAUAAUUUGAAAUUUGAUUUGAUAAUAAACGAUCCAAUUUCAAGCUUGAUUUCAAACUCGAUAUAUAAUUUAUUGAGCCGAGCUUGAAUUUGACAGUAUUCAGCUCGUUGAACUCACGAAUAUAUUCGAAUUCGAUUGUUUAUGAACGUUUGCGAGUCUGUUCACGAACUUUCGAUCGAGCUUUCGAGUUAUUGUACGAGCCUUAAACAAGUUGAGCUCGAGCUCGAGUAACAUAUUAAUUAAGAAAAAUUUCUUAAAUUUUUAACGAGUUUAAGAUCGAAUUACAUCUAACGAGCCGGCUCGAAUUCGACAUUAUCAAGUAUUACCCGAGCCAACUCGAACUUAGUAAAUGAGUGACGAGUCAAACUCGAUCAAUAAGAUAAAAACUCAAAUCUAGCUCGAACACCUAAAUAUUUAAAUGAGCCGAGCUUAAACAUGCAUGUAUUCGGCUCCGCUCAUUUACGAUCCUAAUUUUUGGGCAUGACACUUUAUAUCUCAAAAUAGUUACAAUAAAUCUAUGCAGUCACACUAUGGCCACCCACAAACUAGUUUAAUAGAAAAAAUUUUGAUUGAUUUAAUUUAUUUUUAAAAUAAAGAUAAAAUUUAGUUAUUUUAUUAUAUUUUUUACAUUGUAGUUUUUUCUUCUUUUUUUUUGGUUUUCUUUUUGGCUACACUUAUUUCGAUUGCAGCAUACAUCUCACAGGAAAUUUAAGAUUUGAGGUCCCAAUUACAUCAAACUUAUUUCAGAAAUAUUAAAGUUGUACAUCUUGAUUCUACAACAAGUGCUGCCCCAAAAAAAUGCCUGAUAAGUUGCCAUUAUGGAAUCUAAAAUUUCCAAAUGUCUCCUAUCAAGUAAUUCCAUUUUGCUAGUGUUUGAUUAUGUCUGAAAAUAUGUAAUAUGAGUAUCUCUAGCACAAAGAAUGAGAAUCCCCUAACUUUGACUUUUCUAUUUGCUCCUUAACUUCAACUGAAGCAUAAGCAUAAAUCUUUAAACUCAACUCGGCUUUUGCAAACUGCAAUGUCACUAAACAUUUGAUUUUUGUGUACGUUAGUAUACUUGAGCGUUGACUUUUCUAAAUUUGUUAGUUACGAAAGUAUAGCUAAUAAUUUAUGAAACACAAAAUUAAUGCCAUGGACCCAUUAGACAAUGGAUCCAAAUGGCGAAGAUAUUGGCAAUGAUCGAGUUCAAAUCAAAUAUAACAUGAUAUCAUGUUUUAUUAAAUAAGAAGAUCGUCUUAUUAGAGAUUGUCAUUAAUACAAAUUUAUUUAGUUACAAAAGUGUGAGGAUCGUGAUUCAUACACUCAGUUUUCGUCAUUACAAAAUGAAGAAUAUCACUAAAUUGAAUUAGUAGAAUGCUCUCUCUCUUGUGUCUCUCUCUCUUAACGAGUAUUCACAAAGUAAAAGUUGUAAAUAGUACUCUUUCGUCCACAAAGAUUAUAUGGUGCAGUGAAUGGCACAAAUUUUGAUAAAUAUAUAAUUGAGAGAUGCGUAUAAAGUGUAGAAGAUAAUCUCCAAAAUUUAGUGGAGAAAGAGGUCCACCAAAAUUAUUGUGUUAAAUUGUUGAGUAUUUUGCUGGAAAUCAGAACACAGGGAAGAAAGUUUACGUGGUAUCAACCUGGUGGAGGAUGCAAGAGCAAACUAGACAGAUUUAUGGUCAACGAGAAAUGGAUGCAGGAAUGGCCGGACACAGUCGGAAGGGGGCUUCAGAGAUCAGUGUCGGACCAUUGUCCGAUCUUCCUGACCACAAAAACCAAGAAUUGGGGACCCAAACCUUUUAGGUUCCUUAAUUCUUGGCUCUCCCACCCAGAUUUUUGCGCGUUGGUAAGGAAAUCUUGGGAUGAAGCUAAGAUUGAAGGAUGGAGUUGCUUUGUGUUCAAAGAGAAAUUGAAAUUGGUGAAGAGUGUGUUGAAAGAGUGGAAUAUGAGGAUUUAUGGCAACAUUGAGCACGGCUUGACAGAUCUUAAGGAUGAACUUCAGGAGCUGGACAUUUUUGAUGACACCUUUGGUCUUGAGGAGAGUGAGACAAUCAGGAGAAAUGAAUUACGAGCAAAGAUUUUCCUUAAAUCCAAAGAAAAAUGUAGUCUUCUUCAACAAAAGGCGAAAGUCAAAUGGGUCAAGGAGGGCGAUCUGAAUACAGUUUUUAUCACAAAGCAAUUGUUGGGAGAAGAAAGAAGAAUGAAAUUGCAGGGCUUGAUGUUGGGGGUUGCUGGAUCGAGGAUCCAAAGAUCAUUAAGGAGAACGUCAAAACGUUCUUCGAGAAUCACUUCAAGAAGACGCCGCGCGUCCUACCUAUGAUACCGGGAGAUUUCACUGCUUGGAAAAUUUCUGCAGCAAAUAAUGCGGAGCUGAUCAAACCUUUUUCAGAAUCAGAAAUUAAAGAGGCCAUUUGGAGCUGUGACGGUGACAAAAGCCCGGGACCGGAUGGCUUUAACCUCAAGUUCUGGAAAGCGUCAUGGGAGAUUAUCAAGAAAGAUUUUUUAAAGGUGAUGACUGAAUUUCACUCCAAUGGCAAAAUCCCUCGGGGAUGUAACUCUUCAUUCAUCGUUCUCAUUCCUAAAAAAGAAGGAGCUUGCUCACUUGAGGAGUUUAGGCCUAUUUCACUUAUUUGUAGCCUCUACAAAGUCAUUGCGAAGGUUUUGGCGAAUAGGAUGAACAGGUCAUGGAUUCAGUUAUUUCGGAUAAUCAGAGUGCCUUCGAUUGGCGGCCGUUACAUCCUUGGAUGGGGUCGUGGUUCUAAAUGAAGUAAUCGCGGAGGCUACUAAGAAGAGAAAGGGAGGAUUAUCUUCAAGGUGGAUUUCGCGAAAGCAUAUGACUCCGUCGAGUGGGAUUUCUUGGAUUUAAUGCUUGAAAGAAUGGAUUUUGAACCAUUAUGGAGGAAAUGGAUCCGAGGUUGUAUCUCCUCGGCGACGACGAAUAUUUUGGUGAAUGGAUCUCCAUCUGGUGAGGUGUGUUUAGAAAGAGAAUUACGGCAGGGGGAUCCGCUUUCCCCAUUUCUCUUUCUUAUUGCAGCGGAGGGGCUCCACUCUUUGAUCACGAGAGCUGUUGAGAAGGAGCUGAUUAAGCCGGUAAAGGUAGGAAAUGAUUACAUUUCAAUUACGCACCUCCAAUACGCCGAUGAUACGGUCUCUUGAUGGAGGAUGAUGAAGAAAAUGCAGUGGCAGUUAAAAGGAUUCUCAGAGUGUUCCAGCUACUGUCAGGGCUUGCUGUGAAUUUCAAAAAAUGUUGUCUCUUCGGAGUUGGGGUCGAGGAGGAUAAGAUCAAGAGGAUGGCGGCUGUUUUGGGUUGUGAUGUAGGCUCCUUACCUUUCAAUUACCUCGGUAUUAAAGUGGGUAGCAAGGGCAAAAAGGUUGCUGAUUGGAAAUACUUGGUUGAGAAGGUGAGAAAGAAAAUCGAUUCGUGGAAAAAUGGGAAGUUCUCUCUCGCGGGCCGAGUGACCUUGGUGAAGGCUGUGCUUCAAUCUAUACCGAUUUACCAGCUCUCUUUUACCUGUUUACCAAAAUCAAUUGUGAGUUCUCUAAAUGCUUUACUUGGUAAUUUUCUGUGGGGAGGGGGUUCUAGUAAAAGUGCGAUUGCUUGGGUGAAAUGGAAGGUGCUUUGUGCUUCAAAAGAUGAAGGAGGCUUGGGGCUUAAAAAUAUUGAGUGGUUUAAUCAGGCACUUGUCGUUAAAUGGUUGUGGCGGUACCUUACUGGAAGGGACAUGCUUUGGGCUAAAAUUGUUAGUCCAUUUAUGGUGAGGUUGAGUGGGGAGAGACAGGUCUGGAAAACGCGGGGAAAGGUAGAUUUAGAGAUGGGUGGUGGCCGAAGAUCGUUUCUGCGGUGGGAGGGGCGAGCAAUUUUUGGUUUGUUCAAAAUUUGAAGCCAAAGGUGGGGGAUGGGAAGACCUUUAAAUUCUGGAGUCAGUGGUGGGUUGGACAAAAGCCGUUGAAGUUUACUUUUCCUAGACUUUUUCAGUUGAGUGCUAAUAAAGAAGCUGCAAUCUGUGAAGUUGGGGAAUGGACUGAUACUGGAUGGUGUUGGGAUUUAAGGUGGAGAAGAGAGCUAUUUGACAGAGAGAGGGAAGGAGUUUCGGAGUUGCUUAGCCUUGUUUCUGGUACUAAUCUGUGUGCAGGUAACAAGGACGGAUGGACAUGGAGUGGCGACAUUGGGAGAGGCUUUAACAACCAAGUCCGCUUAUGAAGCUAUUAAAGAUCAAGCAAACGAGACUACGGAGGCGGUGGAGGAAACUGAUAUGAGUACGAAGGUGUGGAAGAUCCCUAUUCCAAACAAAGUCAACCUUACCGCAUGGAGAAUUUUGAAGAACAGAAUUCCGACGUGUGACAAUCUCUCGAGAAGAAAUGUGAAGUUGUGUGAAGUCGAGGUGGGAUGUAACGCCUGUUUUCAUCGGCAGGAAUCCACGAACCACUUGUUGAUCCACUGUCCAAAGACCUCAAAGGUAUGGGAAGCAAUCUUUCAAUGGCUCGGAGUUAGCAUGGCGCAGCCAUACGACGUGUCCUCGCACUUUCAGUUCUUUACUAGUUUGAGUGGCCGGAAAAGAAAUAAGAAGCUCUUGAUGGCUCUUUGGUGUUGUACUACUUGGCUUAUUUGGAAAAUGCGUAAUGAGAGUAGAUUUGAGAACAAAAUAUGGGAGAGUGCAAACUUGUUUGGAGAAAUCAAAGCUAGAGUGUGGAGUUGGGGUAGAAUUUUUGGUUUUGUUAAUGAUGGAGUUGGGAUUCAUAGGUGGAUGUCGAAUGAUGAAUCACCGAUGAUUUUGUAAUCUUCUUGGUACUACUGGUGCCUUUUCGUUCUAUAAUAUUUACUUUCCUUAUCAAAAAAAAAAGUAGAAUGCUCUCUCUCUCUCUCUCUCUUAGCGAGUAUUCACAAAGUAAAAGUUGUAAAUAGUACUCUUUCGUCCACAAAGAUUAUAUGGUGCAGUGAAUGACACAAAUUUUGAUAAAUAUAUAAUUGAGAGAUGCGUAUAAAGUGUAGAAGAUAAUCUCCAAAAUUUAGUGGAGAAAGAGGUCCACCAAAAUUAUUGUGUUAAAUUGUUGAGUAUUUUNNNNNNNNNNNNNNNNNNNNNNNNNNNNNNNNNNNNNNNNNNNNNNNNNNNNNNNNNNNNNNNNNNNNNNNNNNNNNNNNNNNNNNNNNNNNNNNNNNNNNNNNNNNNNNNNNNNNNNNNNNNNNNNNNNNNNNNNNNNNNNNNNNNNNNNNNNNNNNNNNNNNNNNNNNNNNNNNNNNNNNNNNNNNNNNNNNNNNNNNNNNNNNNNNNNNNNNNNNNNNNNNNNNNNNNNNNNNNNNNNNNNNNNNNNNNNNNNNNNNNNNNNNNNNNNNNNNNNNNNNNNNNNNNNNNNNNNNNNNNNNNNNNNNNNNNNNNNNNNNNNNNNNNNNNNNNNNNNNNNNNNNNNNNNNNNNNNNNNNNNNNNNNNNNNNNNNNNNNNNNNNNNNNNNNNNNNNNNNNNNNNNNNNNNNNNNNNNNNNNNNNNNNNNNNNNNNNNNNNNNNNNNNNNNNNNNNNNNNNNNNNNNNNNNNNNNNNNNNNNNNNNNNNNNNNNNNNNNNNNNNNNNNNNNNNNNNNNNNNNNNNNNNNNNNNNNNNNNNNNNNNNNNNNNNNNNNNNNNNNNNNNNNNNNNNNNNAUAUUAUAUACUAUAUAUAUAUAUAUAUAUAUAUAUAUAUAUAUAUAUUGAAGUCAUACAAUUUUUAUGGUCAAACAAAAUUAGUAUUCUCUUCGUUCCAUUAAAAGUGGCAUACAUUCUAUUUUGAGGUGUUCCAUUAUAAGUGGUUUGUUUCCAUAGCUAGAUGAUAAAAUUUAACCCUUAAAAAAUGUAAGUCCUAUUAAUUUUAAUUAAUUUAUAUAUUCUCUUUAAUUUACGUAUUCAAAGGUUUUAUGCUAUUAUAUAAGUAUAUAAUUUUUGUAAGCGGACACUGUAUAUGAAUAUAAUUUCUAAAUGUAAUAGCUCAUCUAUAUCUAUAUAAUAUAUAAAAGAGGAGUUUCUUCCCUCCAUUUUCCCCCCAUUUUUUCUGGGAUGAAAUCUAGUGUCCCACAAUUUUAUGUGUGCCACUGUGUCCCAUGUUUAUAUCUCUUAUUUUAAAAAUAUUUUUUAUAAAAAUAAAAUUUAUUAUAAUAUUAUGAAUUAUAUUUAAUUUUUAUUUCAAAAAAUUAAAAUUUUUAAAAACUAUAUACCAUGACUUUGAAUUUAUCAACCUAUUAUUAGCUAAUAAAAGUGAAAUUAAAUGAUAAAAAAAUAAUUAUAUACCCUAAAUUGAUGGAAUAAAUCUUAAUUAAUAAUCAUAAAAUUAAAUUAAAGCACACAAAGUUGAAAUUGAAGAAAAACUAUAUAAGAAAAUAAAUAAAAUUGAAAAUGAGACACAAAAUGAGACAUAAAGUGUGGUACACUGAAUCUGAUUCCAUUUUUUCUCUCUCAUUUCUUUCACUAAUUUUUCUUCUAUUCUUAUUUUAUUUUAUUUUAAUUAUUUUCUAAACAUUAUCAAAUUUAAUUCAUGAAAAAAUAUUCAAUAUGUAUCUUAAAUUUAAUAAAGUAUGAACAUCAAAAAUAAAUUUAAACGAAUAAGUUAUGAAAAAUUUAAAAUUUAAAAUAUUUUAUUUUCUAUCUUCAUUUAAAAUUUACAACUUUUUAUUUAUGUUUGUGUACGAAAAUAUUUAUAUAUUUAUUAUGAUGCAUAAUAAUAAUAAGACCUAAUUCUAAUUUUCGUUAUCGAAUAAUUUUUAAAUUUAAUUAAUAACUAUAAUUAUCAUUAUACUUUAUGUAAAGUUGAAAACUUACAUUUUCAAAUUCAGAAUUUUACUGAGUAAUUGAUGUGAAUUGUUUUAUUUUAUUUUUACUUUUAUUUAUAUUUUAGUUUUAUUUAAUAUUUAUAUUUAUUUAUUUAAAUAUAUCGUCUAAUUUCAAUGUCCGUCGUGCAUAGCAAGAAUGAGAGUACUAGUUUUAAGUGAAGAUUUAACUAAAUGUGGUUCAGUUUCUACAAAUUAUCAAUUCCAAAAUUAGUUCAUAUACUAUUUUAUUUAUUGUGAUAGGAAAUUUGAUAUGCACGAGGGUUUGUGUCGUGAUAUAGGCGCGUAUAUAGUAGGUGGUGGGAGUUAAUUAAUUAUUAAUUAUAUACCUAAAAGGCCGUGCGGAUAAGGACUACUCAUUUAUUCAUCGGAUAAUUUUUAUUCUCCGUCGCCAAUCGCCGUUUUAUCCUUCUAUUUAAUGUUCACGAUCACGGCGCCGUCAAACCAGCACACAGAAUUUUUACAAUUCUAUCUUCUGCGUCGUUAUUUAGAUGGUGUGUUGUUAAGUUUAUUUUUAAAAAAUUACUAUAAAUUUUUAGAGUUUAUAAAAUAUACACUAUUUUUAAAAGAAUUUAUAAAUUAUUAAAAUAUUUAAAUAAUUGAUUUUAUAAGCUAACGAGUGAAUUUUUGUUAGAGACAAAAAUAUGCGUUAAAAAUAGAAAAUCGAAUAAAGAUCAACUUGAAAAGAUAUAAGUGUCCUACUUUUAUUUUUGAAUUGUCCCACAACAAGUGUCAUUUUUUUAAAAUAAGAAAGUUCGCUCCACUACUCUUUACCUUUUAAUCAUCUUCACUUUAAUUCCAUUCCUCUCACAAUAUAAAAACAGGCUCCACCACUUUUUAUUUUUUUACUAUUUAAUCAUGCCCACCUAAUUUCUCGAAUCGAAACAAACUAGGACACUUGUUAUGGGACGGGGGGAGUAUAAGAUAAUGAAAAAAAAUAAGUUGGAGUAAUGAACUUAUUAUUUGGGGAGCUUAUAAGUUCUUAAAACUUUUUUUAAAACUUAUAAGUUAUUUAUGAACUUAUUUUACCAAGCAAGCAUUUUAAAGGAACUUACAAGCUCCUAAAUAGCUUAUACUCCCUCCGUCCUACAAAAUUAUGCAUGGUUGACUCGGCACGAGUUUUAAUAAAAAGUUGUUUGUAGUAAUGAUAGUGGAAAAAGAGUUCCACAUUGAGGUAAUUGUUAAGUAAAUUAUGAGUAAAUAAUGUAAGUUAAAAGGGUAAAAUUGUAAGAAUUAUAUGUGGGGUAGUGUCCAAAAAUAGGGUAUGUAUAAUUUUUGGGGGGACGUAUCAAAAAUGAAAGGUAUGCAUAAUUUUAAGAGACCGAGGUAGUAAGUUGUUGUAAAGAGCUUAUAAGUUCAGCCAAAAACCCUCUUAGAGCAUGUUUACCUGAGCUUAUAUAAGCUUCUUAAAACGAGUUAUAAGUUAUUUAGAAACUUAUAAACACUUAAAUAAUUUAUAAGAUUAAAAAUAAGAUAUAAGAGUUUAUAAACUCUUAAAAAAAUAAAUUCCUAAACUCCAAUCUAUGAAUCAGCGAUGAAUCUUGACCCUCAUUCACUGUUGAGGCCAAUACGCAGAAAACACGCAUGGGUCACAAUUGGCAGCGUUGACGAGGAUGCAGACAAAAUAGUUAGUUAAUUGGCGAUUUUAAUUACUCCCUCCGUCCACUAAUUGUUGGCCUAGGAGGCAAAACACGGGUUUUAAGAAAAAAUAUAUUUUUAUUAGUUGAGUGGAGAAUGGGACCCACCAUUUAACAAAGUCAAUACAAUUAGUAUAUUCAAUAAUUUUCGAAUUUCUCUCUCUUCUACUAAUGCUGCCAUUUUUUAAAUUAAUUGGGACCCACCAUGUGUAAAUUAAGGACUGUAGUAACAGAGAAUUAAAAAAAGCAUUAAUUUCCAUUUCACUAAACUGAAAAUUUAUGGAGGGAAAGCCUCCAAAUUUCGGCUCCAAAUACAUAAAUUAGUCACCUAUUUAAACAUAAACACACUAUUCCAGAAUCAUUUACACACCAUUCGAAAGGUUCAAAACAAAACAAUGGAGCUCAUGUCUUCCAAAAAACACCUAACUAUAGAAGAGCAAAAUGCUAUGGCUCAUUGGCUUCUCGCAAAUAGCACCAACGGGAAAACGAACGAUGGAGCACAAAAGGAGGCAACUGCUAUGUUUGGUGUGUCGAGCCGAACGGUGCGUCGUUUCUGGAGCAAAACAAAACAGAAGAUUCAGUCAGGUACAACAGUGAUAUUCACAUCAGCUCACAAAGGUACAUUUCACAAAGAUAGGAAAAAACUUGAUGUUGAGAAGGUUAAGUCAUUGUCCAUUCUUGAGAGGUCUAUAAUUCGUAAAAUGGCUGUCAAACUUCAAGUUAGCAAGAGCUUACUUGGGCAGUGGAUAAAAAGAAAGGAAUUAAGACCACAUACAAGUGCAAUCAAACCACUUUUGACUGAUGUAAACAAGAUAGCAAGGAUGAAGUAUUGUUUAAGUAAUGUAGUGUAUGAUGCAGCAAUGUCGAGGUACAGUUAUCAAAGCAUGCAUAACGUUGUUCAUAUAGACGAGAAAUGGUUCUAUAUGACCAAGACAUCGGAUAGGUAUUACCUACUCCCUGAAAAAACAGACCUUUACAGAGCAUGCAAGUCUAAACGUUUCAUCACAAAGGUGAUGUUUAUGUGUGCUGUCACUAGGCCACAAUUUUCAGCAGAUGGGCAUGAGCUAUUCGAUGGAAAGAUUGGAAUAUUUCCAUUUACUACACUCGAGGCAACCAAGAGAAAAUCGAAAAACAGAGCAAAGGGUGUUUUAGAAGUGAAGCCAAUUCAAUCAAUAACCAAAGAGGUCAUCAAAGAGUGCAUAAUUAAACAGGUAAUGCUCAGUUAACAUCAUUUUAUUUCAACUAUCAGACCUUAUUUAGGUUCAUCAUAUAGCUGCUGCCACAUUAUUUGCCACAUUAUUUCAGGUUAUACCAGCAAUCAAAGAGAAGUGGCCAAAAUCAGAUCAAAUGAAGCAUAUCUUUAUUCAACAGGAUAAUGCAAAACCACAUUUCAACAAAGACGAUCCAGAUUUUAUAGCUGCUGCCAACAGUGAUGGAUUCAAGAUUGAGCUAGUUUGCCAACCAGCCAACUCACCUGACCUAAAUGUCAAUGAUUUAGGUUUUUUUAGGGCUAUACAAUCACUGCAGGAUGACAAGAUGGCAAAAACUGUUGAAGACCUACUGCAGAAUGUGUUGAUUUCUUUCGAAGAGCUUUCAUCAGUUACACUCAACAAUGUCUUCUUGACAUUGCAAGGGUGUUUAACUGAGAUUAUGCGAGUUCAAGGAAGCAAUGACUACAAGAUUCCACACAUAAACAAAUCAAGACUCUUGAGGAUGGGAAUGCUGCCAGAAUGCAUAGAAUUGGAUGAAGGACUUAUCAAAGAUAGCAUAACUCAUGUGAUGCAGUUUGAUGUGAAUGCAGGCACAAAUUAUGACAUUGGGGGGCUUAUGCAUCAUUUUGGAUUUGGCUAAGGGUUAGUAUAGUUUUCUUGUUCUCAUUUUGUGUGUGUUUACACUAGAAACAACUCAAUAGGGUUGUUUAUCAUGUAAACAUAGGGCUUUAGUCUCAGCCUUUAUUUUGUAAAAAAGGAAGCAUCAUAGACCUUUUAUUAAACCUCCAAUUACUAGGGAUUUCAAUACCUAGUGGUGGCUUUGCUUAGAUUUCAUCACACAUCACAGAACACAGAUCACAGAACACAGAUCACAGAUUUCAUCACACAUCACAGAACACAGAUCACAGAGAGGAAGAAAACCUCCAACAACUAGGGAAUGAAGCCCUAGUGGUGGCUUUCAUAUAACCCUCAGUAAAACACAUCAUAGGGCAACCAUAGAGCAAGCAAAUCACAGACCGAGCAACAGAGGGACAGUAAACCUCCAACAAUAGCAUCACAUAUACAGUUACCAGCAACCAUAGUAUAGCAAAGCACAGAUCGAGCAACAACACCAUAACAAAUCACAAAUCCAGCAACACAGACAUAGAGAAAACCUCCAACAACUAGGGAAUGAAGCCCUAGUGGUGGCUUUCAUCUAACCCUCAAUAAAACACAUCAUAGGGCAACAAUAGACAGAGCAAAUCAUAGACCGAGCAACAACAUUUCAACAAAUCACAGAUCGAGCAACGAGCCCAUCAGAAAUCAAGACCAGAAACAACACCAUAACAAAUCACAGAUCGAGCAACGAGCCCAUCAGAAAUCACAGAUCGAGCAACAAUAUCAUAACAAAUCACAGAUCGAGCAAUGAGCCCAUCAGAAAUCACAGAUCGAGCAACCAUAUCAUAAAAAAACACAUUUGUGCAUCAGAGAGUUAACACCUGAUUAGGGGAUAUUGCUUAAGCCUGGAAAGUAAAUCAGCAUGAUUCUGAUGAAGGCUGGAGACAGCCCAUACGUCCAAGACCGCGAGUUGACGUUACCAGGCGUCUCUACUCCGUCAACGACGAGUCGACCGGUGCUCGAUUCAACCUCAGAUCGCGAUUGGAGUUGUCCCGCACUCGAUUCGUCAUCGGCGCGAACAACCGGCAUCUUUUCGUCGUCAACAGCGAGAUCCGACAUCUCUACUCCAUCCGCCGGCGUCGAUUCGUCAUUUUUGAGUGAAGCCAAGUUUGUUUCAGGUACAUACUCACUGAAAUCGGAGUGGGUUUCAUAAACCUCCAACAAAUAAGAGGGCGUAUCAAAGGAUAAUGGGUAAGCAGAGGGCGUCGAGUGGAUAGAGGGAACGUCGAGAGUGAAAUCGACACUGGGGGGUGUAGGGAUGUGAUUCCAAUCGGACAUUUUUUGCCAAAGGUCAAAAACGAGGCGGCUAGGGUUUGGAAGAAUGAAGAACGAACAACAGCAAGAAUGAGGGAGAAGAAUCGAGGCGGCUAGGGUUUUGAUAGGAAUGAUUCUGAUUUUAAGUGUAAGUGUGGUUUAAUGAUAGGUAGAUAGCAUUAAUAUGGUAGGUGGAAUUAAUUAGUGUAGGAUUUAAUUGGUAGGUAGGAUUUAAUUAGUUUAAAUAAAUUGUUUAAUUAAAAGUGUGUUUGACUUGUAGUGUAUUUAAAUAUGAAUAUAAAUUUUCCUAAAAUAGAUAGGACAUAAAUUGGGGGACGGACAAAAAAGGCAAGUAGGCCAACAAUUAGUGGACGGAGGGAGUAGAUUUUUAAUGAUUGCAAGUGAUUCAUGUUGUGUACGUGAGUAGCGAAAGUUUUUGUACCCUUGUGAUAUCCCUCUAUAAAUAGUGUGCCAUUGCACAAUGUAAGACAUGCUCUCUAAUUUUGCUGAAGAAUUACAAGUUUUUUGACUAGAAAUUCAAAAUGUUUUUCACUCCCACAUUCACGCUUUCUACACCAGGUUCAUCAUUUCACCAUUAUUUUAUGAUUAAUUGAAAAUUUAUAUAUUAUGAUUUCACUAACUCCCACAUUCACGCUUUCUACACCAGGUUCAUCAUUUCACCAUUAUUUUAUGAUUAAUUGAAAAUUUAUAUAUUAUGAUUUCACUAACUGGCGCAUAUGGGAAAUAGAUGCUAAGGCGUGAGUAUUUGCAUGAUUUUAGUAGCGAUUUGGUGUUUUUGUUUUUCAAUUUUUUUGGGUACAAGCAUGAUUUUAAGAAUUGAUGUUGGUUUCAAGACGAGUAUGUAUUAAUGUAUGAGAGAGGGGGGAAUACUUUUUGUUAUUUUAUAACUUAAGUGUUCUAAGGCUGGUGAACUAAUAAUGAGCCAGUCUGAAGAAUACAAUUCAUUGUACUAUGGUAUGCUGACAUUUGUUUUGGAAACUCCUGCCUACAGAUUGACAGUUGUCCAGUCUAUUGAUUUACUCGUCAGCAAGUCAGUUAGAAUAGAAAUUGAAGUGCAUGUGCAUAAUAUGGUGGUUUGUACUCGCUUAGAGAAUCUUUUGUCUUUUCAUUUAAACUCAUGCAAAGUUCAAUUUUAAGUAUUAUUGACUUGAGUCAUAUUGAUACAAUCAUGAAAAUCAGUUUAAUGCAUGUGUUGAGAGCCAAUGCAGUUGUUUAGUUUGCUGAAAAAGUCACGUACAAAAAUAUUAUAUCAUAUAAAUACAACACAUAAAAAUUAGUACUUUGUUAAAAUUAAAUAUACUCCGUAUGUCUCACAAAAAUAUGAACAAUUGGGAGUGACACGGAUCUUAAGAAAUAUUAGUUAAGAGUUAUUGUGAGUAGAAAAUGGAUCUCACUUUAUAAAAUGUUAUGAAAGUAAUGAGUUAAUGAAAAAAAAGUAGUGAUGGACCAUGAUGGUCUUUUUGUGAAUAAGUGUGAAAAUGAGAGAUAAAAAAUAAGGGGAUAGUGUACAAAAAAAAAUGUUCAUAUUUUUGUGAGACACCCCAAAAGGACAAUUUAUUCAUGUUUUUUGUGAGACAGAUGUGGUAUAUUUUACAUUGUAUUUAUCUUAAUAUUAUAGACAAAAUAUUUUAAUUAUUUAAUAACCAUAAUUAUCAUUACACUUUAUAUAAAUGUGAAAAAGUAUAUAUUUUUAGAUUCAAAUUCUUUGUUAAAUAUUUGAUAUGGAUUUUAAAAAAUAUAUAUUUUCGUAUAUUUUGAUUAUAUUUAAUAUUUAUAUUUAUUUAUUUAAUAUGUCAUUUAAUUUCGAUAUUCACCCCGCAUCGUACUAGUGGAUGUUACUAGUUUAGAGUUAUAAUUAAGUAAAUUGUGUGGGUAGAAUAAAGGUACAAGGAGUAACAUUGAGAGUUAUAAUUAAGUGAGUUGUGUUGGUGGAAUAAAGGUCUCACUUUUAUUAUAAUUUUAAAUUGAUUAAUUUGAUUGAGUCACGAAUUUAAUAAUGGCAAUAUUUAUAAAUAAGGGAUAAUAUUGAGAGGUCUAAAAAAAUGGGUUAAUAUUGAGAGUUAUAAUUAAUGGAAUAUACAUACUAAGAGCAUCCGCAUUGGGCUACUCGAUGCCCUUACUUGAGUAGCCCAAAUGCAUCGAGUAGCCCAAUGCAAGCUCUUCCUACUCAAGGGCUACUCGUUCCAUUGAGUAUACCCGAUCUCCCCAAAUUUCAGGCGCGUGGUUACACGCGUCACCAAUAAAUCAAGUAAUCAAAACAAAAAAAGUCAAGUAAGCUAUCAAGUAAUCUCAAUGUGGCCUCCUUACUCAUUAUGGUCCCCUCCUAUGAAGUAAGCUAUCAAGUAAGACCAAUGUGGAUGCUUUAAGAAUGAAAAUAUUAAAUAAUACUCCCUCCGUUUCAGCUUUUAGUAUCCAACUUUCCUUUUUUGGUCGUCCCACAUUUUAGUAUCCAUUUCUAUUUUUGGUAUAAGUAGAUGAGGCCCUUACUCCACUUUAAUUAUUUUAACUCACAUAAAAUGUGGAACCCUUAUUCCACUCACAACACAUCAAUCACUUUAUUAAAACCCGUGCCGUUCUCAACUGGAUACCAAAAGUCGGGACGGAGGGAGUAUAUUUUUAUGGACGAACCAGAAUGAUACUAGCUCUAAUAAAAUGUGAAUAGAGUAAACAUCUCACUUUAAAUGUCAUUGAAAUUUUGUGGACUUGACUAUUAUAAACAGAAGUGACAAAUUUUUUGUGGAGAGACCCGACAAGAAAAUUGUGGAAAAUUUUAUGCUGCAGGCUGAAGGUAGUGUUUUUUUGAUGGACAAAGGAUGUACUGUAUUAUUUCAGUCAUCAAAAGUAUGAAAAACUCAGCACGUCAAAUAUCCAACAAAAGAUAAGCAGCACACACUCUCAUACAAUCCCAGGGAAGAUAGUAUGUACCCCAAACUCAGCAUGCAUAAACAACCAGACAUAACCAGACACAAGCACUAAUUGUUAUAAUUAGUGAAGUAGCUAGAAUGAUACAGUGAGGCCGAGAAGCGCCAUGAACUGAGCUACAAAUUCAGGAUGGCCUGGCCAGGCAGCUCCAGUAACCAGAUUUCCAUCAGUGAAGCACCGGUGAAUGGGGUCCGGCUCUAACCAUGUAGCCCCCGCUAGAACAACGUUAAGUUUCACAGCCGGGUAUGCAGUGCAUUUCUUGCCCUGCAACGUUUACAUCAUUAAUUGGUUAUUAUGUGAUGUCUAAGACUAAAACCAAAAAUGCCCUCUCUGCAAUCUUUAUAACCAAAUUGAAGUACAGCAGUUCAGUUCAUAAUCAAUUAGCUCCCACUAUCCCGAGAUUAGUCUUUCCACGUAUAUGAAAAAACGGACCGCUCAAAGAUGAUGAAUAUGAGGUUCAAAAAUGUUGAAUUACUAAAUCUGAAGAAAUAAAUGAAUAAAUAAUAAGUAUGCAGCAUUACGAUGGCAUAGAAACACAACUAGCAAUCAACAAAAUAUAUCAUAUUCAUUCUCAAACAAUUUAGGGGAGAGGUAUUAGUAUAAUUAGUGAGAGCUCUACCUUAACUUAAACCUAAUAGGGCAAUGUAAAUCUUUGUUAACGAGUGGUUUUGUCUAAUUGUAAGUGUAAUAUGCAUCAAUACCAAACAAGUUGGUUGUGAGCAUAUAGGAGAAACUGAGAAAGCACCAAAUAUAAUAACAUACAUGCUAAAAAAAGCUACCUUUAAAACAUUAGCAGCAGAUAAAAUCUGUUGUCCAUGGCAGAUGGAUGCUACUGGUUUCUUGGAUUCCAUAAAUUCCUUCACUACUUGAAUAACCUUGUCAUUCAGCGCCAAAUACUCUGGAGCACGACCCCCAGGUAUGACAAGUCCAUCAUAGCUCGAGGAAUUCACACUUUCAAAACCCGCAGUUAAAGUAAAGUUGUGGCCUGGCUUCUCACUGUAGGUUUGAUCACCUUCGAAGUCGUGAACAGCUGUAGGGCAUGUCUCACCUGCUUUCUUCCCCGGGCAAACAGCAUCAACAUGACAGUCAAGGGCUUGAAGGGACUGAAAUGGAACCAUCACCUCAUAAUCCUCCAUGAAAUCCUGCUCCACGGCCGCAAAAGAAUAACCCAUCAAAGCGUAAAACUCCAAACUCCCUACUAGCAAUUACAGCACUCAGACUGCAGUCAGCACAAACUACAAUUUAUCAAGAACCCAAACUGCAGUACUUUUUUUUUUCUUUUUACUUACUAUUUUGAUAAGAACCACGGAUUUUUAGCACAUCACUCAAUAAACAUGUAUUUAAUUUAACCUAAAAUCCCAUCUUUCUAGUCUGAAGUCUCAACUGAAAAGAAUGAGCCAUGCUACACGGUUGGGAGUUAUAUGGAGCAUUACUUGUAUAGAGAAUUAACUAUAAAGAUUAGGAAAUAAAUUGGUUAGGAGGAGUUACAUAAGACAGAGCAUGCUAAACAGUCAAGGUAUAUUGUCAGAGGUCAUUUUAUAUGGACUCCCUAAUUAGCCUGUAGAAGCAAACUAAAUUUGAAGUCAAAUUAUUUUAUCAUAAAAUCUUGAAGCAGAAACUAAACAAUUGGAACUUACUCCACAAAGAAAUAGGAUUCGCUUUCCGGAACCAGAUAUCUUGGCUCCCAAUGCAUUGAUAAAAAGGCGGAUGAACUCAGGAUGUCCAUCAUAUGUAGCACCAGUUAUCAGGUUUCCAUCACUGGUACAAAAGGCCAUGGUAUCUGGUUCUACCCAAUGGGCACCAGCAGCAACGAGUGCAGGUUUAAGAGCUGGAUAAGCAGUGCAUUUUCGGCCUUUAACCAUAUCAGCUGCAGCCAAGAUCAACUGUCCAUGGCAGAUGGACGCAAUUGGCUUUUUCAAGUCUUCAAACUUUUUUACCAAAGCUACAACAGAUUCAUCCACCGCGAGAUAUUCUGGGGCACGUCCUCCUGGUAUGACCAAUCCAUCAUAUUUGGUAGUAUCUAUUUCAUUAAAAGUAGCAUUAAGAGCAAAAUUAUGCCCCCUUGACUCGGAAUAUGUCUGCAUCAAUUUUUCAAUCAAGAUCAACGCAGGCCCAAUAAUUAAUACGGGUAAUAGUCACUCGAUUAUAUUCACAUUUCACAAUAAUGCAACAUGAGCAGUUACAAUCAACACUGAUCAGAUACUCUUGCUAGUCUUGAAACAGGGACAAUCAGUAUGGAAAUUUAGAUGAGAAAAUUAUCAUUACAAGCAGAAAUUAACAAAUUAUCAAUAUUCGAAGAUUAGCAUUGUGGGUGAAAACAGGCCAUCCAAUUAACCUUUUUUUGUCAUCUACUAUCACAAGCUACAUUAGCACAAACAGGCUUACCGAUUCCUAAGCUCCUCAAACUAAACAUGCCAAAGCAUGAGGGUCCUACAUCUACAGGGCAUAAACUCAGAUUAACAAACACCCUGGCCUUGUUUACUUUGGUGGAUAAGGGAUUAAGGAUGGACCAGGCCCAAGGGUAGAUUGACAAAACUUAUUCAACUAUAAUCAACAUAUAAUUUCAUUGACAUAAAAAGGUGGAUAACUCAAUCCCCUUGGUUAAUUUGGUUUGAAGUGAUUAAAUGAAGGAUAUGCACCUCAAUCUACAGAGGUGGGGUGAGAUACAUCCACCACUUUCUUCUUGAUGCAUCAAAGUAAACAUAGCUCAUAAAAUUAAGUUUAUCAUAUCCAAUCAAAUUAUCAAACUAUCUAUCCACCAAAUUCUAUAUUUUCAAAGUAAACAAGCUCCAAGAGUAGUCGUUCAAGACAAAGCACAAACAUCAAAGAACAACGAGAAGUCCACAGUAUACAAAAUCUUUCCCAACCUCGACAAAUUGUAUCUCUUUCACUAUGAUAGACAUAACCAAUUAACAGAGAGGGCGUUUGGCGUAGCUUAUAAGCUCUUGAGAAGUGUUUGGCAAAAUAAGCUUCUAAACAACUUACAAGCUGUGAAAAUAAGCUCCAAAAAAAAAGUUCAUCAACCCCAUCUGAUUUUUUCAAUAAUCUUAUACGCAACAAUCAAUUCACAAAAAUAAUCCUACUAUAAUUUGAUAUUACCAACAUAUACCCUUUCAUUUUUUAUCUCUCUAACUCACAAUACGCUCAAUUUUCCAAACACUUUGACAACUUAUAAGAUCUUGAAAGUUGAAACAUCUUCUAAGCCGUCUAAAAUAAGCUUAGCCAAACAACCUCUUAGCACACGCAAGAAACUUCCACUGUGCUCCGACCAAUUAACAAUAACAGCAAAGGCAACACAGCAGCUACUUAUUGCACUCAAAAUCGAAGCUAACUACCAUAGCAAACAGAUUUAAAUCAGAACAACAAAAACACAGCAAGACCUCAACUUCCAUUGUAUAAUGAACGCAAACACAUACACAGCACAGAACGUAAAUCAUUUCGAUUAGUUCCACGAAACCUGAUGUCCUCGAAGAUCAUGGAUUGCAGUGCGACAAAUGUCGCCCGCUUUCUUGCCGGGGCAGACAGCGUCAACGGAUAGCCCAUAUGCCAGCAACGCUUGAAAUGGAACCAUCACCUAAAAAAAACAAUCAUCAACCAUUCAGCGCAAACUCACACAGUAAAUUUGUCGAACAGUUGGAAGAACGAAAAUCCAAAAAACAAAAAGAAAAACAAAUGAUGACCUCGUAAUCUUCGACAUAGUCUCCGCACAGCAAGAGGACUCUUUUCUGCCCCGCCAUUUCUGGUUGUCGAGAUUAAAAUUAUCCGACUCAAUCUCUCUCCUAUGCGAGUGGAGGAAACUUGAGGUUUAGACCUCUCUGCUCAGCUUAGAAGUAGAUGAUGUAGAAUGAUCUUGAAGAUAUGAAUUUUUUGUACUACUAGUAUUUUUAUUUGGUGGAAAGACGGGUUUGAGAGUUCGUGAUGUUUAUUUAUUCUUGUCAAUCAUCUUCAAGAUAUCACCUUUUAUUUGGAAAUUUUGUGAAAGGAAAGACUUUUUAUUUUUUAUUUCAUAGCGGACGGACAUAUUUGAGGAUUCACAAAGUUUUAAAUUCCGAACUACUAAAAUUAUAUGGAACCUUGAUAAAAAAAAAUUCGACACAAAUUUUAAGGAAUUAGUAUUUUAUAUAUUAAAUGUGGUAUGUGAAAAAUAAAAAGAUAAAUAAAGAAAAAAAAUAUCAUAUAAAAAAAAUACUCAAAUUUUAUGGGAUAAUUCGAAAAAAAAAAAAUACUGCUCAAUUUCACAGAAAGGAGGGAGUAUAUAACAAACCAUCUUAUAUAAGAUGAAAAAUUCUCUCUUACCUCACAAUUUAAAAUUCAUAAUUUGACUUUUUUUUCGUUUGUAAUCAUUAUAAAUUCAUAUUACUAAUGCUUAUUAAUCACUAAUAAGCCAAUUAAUAAAAAUAUUAGAACAAAAUAAAUUAAUUAAAUGAUGUGAUGUGAUGUUAUUAAAUUUUACGAAAGAAUAAAUAUUUAACUUCCUUAUUAUUAAUUCAUUUUUGGUGUGAUAAUAUUAUCGAUCUUUAAAGUGAAAAUAAAGAAUGAAAAAUAGUGAACUUCUUUUUUUGUGUUAAAUGUGAGAAAAGAAAUAAGACAUUUAAAAGCAUAAAUUUUUGGAAUCCAUUAUUUUCUAUGGAUAAAUUUAUCCAUUAAAGUAAAUGCAUCCUUACAAAUUUAAUGUAGAGUUUCUAUGAGUAAAAUAAUACAUUUAUAAUUAAUUUUAUUAUUUUUUUAAAUAAAAAAUUAUAGUGAGGAAAUUGAGGACUAUAUUUAAAAUUAACCUUUCGAAAAUGGUUUCAAAUUUGAAGGUUAAUAAAUUGAAUGCCCCUAUUUUUGAUCCAGUGACAUUUUUCAUAUUUGGUUGGGUCGAGGCAAUAUGAGAGCCCAAUUGAUUUCCAAGCACCCAUCAUAUUCAUAUCACAGAAUCAUCCUCUUUUAAAAGAAUAAAGUUAGGGCUUCCGAUUUUGCCGGAAAAAACAAAAUCCUAACGGAACGGCGACGUAAUGGAGCUACCGCCGCCUCAGAAACGAAUGCGCUCCGGCUCCCCAGCAUUCGACGCCCCUAUCGACCUCUCGCUCCUCGAAGCCCUCGAGAAAUCGCAGCAGAACGCCAUCGAAACCCUCGACCUCAAAACCUUAAAGAGGCUCGCCCUCUCGUUGGAGCGCCGCCUCAACGCCAACACCGCCGCCCGCCUCAAGUACCCGGACAACCCGGAGAAGUUCGCCGAUUCCGAGCUCGAGCUCCACGAAGAGCUCCAGAAGCUCAAAAUCCUCGCCGGCGCGCCGGAGCUUUAUUCCGACCUCGUCAGCCUCGGCACCGUCAAUUCCCUCACCGGACUUCUCAACCACGACAAUACCGAUAUUGCCAUUGAUGCCGUCACGCUCCUGCAGGACCUCACCGACGCCGACGUUAUCGAGGACAACGAGGAAUCGGCGCAGGUGCUCGUCGACGCGCUGAUCGAGAACAAUGCGGUGGAGUUGCUGGUUCAGAAUUUGGCGCGGUUGAAUGAUUCCGACCCCGAUGAGUCGGCUGCGAUUUACAACACUCUGUCGACUAUUGAGAAUCUCAUCGAGGUGAAGCCUUCUGCAUCCGAGCUUGUCUGUGAGAAGACGAAGCUGUUGAAAUGGCUUCAGGCGCGGAUUAAGAUACGUGAAUUCGAUAGUAAUAAGCAGUAUGCUUCUGAAAUUCUGGCGAUUUUGUUGCAGAAUAGUGCUGCGAACCAGAAGAGGUUCGGUCAGAUGAAUGGUGUGGACACUUUGUUGCAGGCCGUGGCAAUGUACAAGUCCAAGGACCCGAAGACUGGCGAUGAGGAGGAGAUGGUGGAGAAUUUGUUUGACUGUUUGUGUUGUGUGUUGAUGCCUUUGGAGAAUAAGGAGAGGUUUGUCAAGGCGGAAGGGGUAGAGUUGAUGAUCAUUAUUAUGAAUCAGAAGAAACUAUGUUAUGGGUCUGCCAUCAGGGCUUUGGAUUUUGCAAUGACUAACUAUCCGCCUGCUUGCGAACGGUUUAUUGAUGUGAUGGGGUUAAAGACUGCUUUCCCUGCUUUUAUGGGUAAGGCAAGUUCAGUCCCCUCCUCCUUUUUAAGCUCCAUUUAGUGAGGUUAAUAGCAAGUUCGAGUGCUUUCUUUGAUGGAUCACUUCGCUGUGCUUUCGUGCUAUACAUGUUCUAAAGUUUGUAGUUGAAUAAAACUCGAUGGACUGAGAGUAUAAUCAUCGAGGAGGUAUCUGAAAUUUUGACUUUUUUUGUUGGUUAGGUACCUCUCAGCAAGAAGAAUAAGAAAAAACAGUCCAAAGAAGAAUUGGAAGAACGCCUCUUAUCUCUAAUUGCAUCCCUAUUUGGUAAGCAGGCAAGUCCCAUUUGGUUUACAUUUUUAUCUUCAACUUUGUGGUGGUAAGAGUGAUGUAAUUAGAACGUUUGGAAUUCAUUUGGCUUAAGUUUUUAUCGUGAUUUUUAAAAUCUUAUGGAAUUAUGUUCUGUGGAAUGCACUAAUUACUGUUUUCAUGUGUCCUUCAAUCCUAAAAUGGAUGGUGCCUGUGCUCUUUUUCCAAACUUGUUUCUUGAUGUGCCAUCUUCCUAUCGAGAAUAUGGAAAUCUAGAGUUGUUUUCCUUCAGUUAUCAUUUUCCAUUCCCAUAAUAAUGUGAUUGUUCCAAUGACAAUGCUUAUUUUGCUCCAGGUGGAAUCUUGAGGGGUUCCAGAAGGGAAAGAUUGUUAAGCAAAUUUGUUGAAAAUGAGUGUGAAAAGAUAGAUCGACUUAUGGAACUCUAUAUGAGGUAAUUAUUGACUACAUCCUUCAGUUAUCUAUAAAAUCGACAGUUCUGCUUGGGAUAUUUGAUUAUCUUGUUUCAGUGAAUCUGAUCUUUGUUUCUGUGCAUACUUGUGUGCAUGCACACUAUGAUUUAUAGAUAUUCAGAUAGAGUGAAAGAAGAGACUGAACGGUUUAAUCAACUUGAGCUCGACGAUCUUGAGGUUAAUUAAUAUCUAUAUUUUUCUUUUCUAUCACCAUUUUCUCUGCUACAAAAUAAAAAUAGGCAUAUAUUAUCAGUAUAUACUUAUCUGUAUUGUCGCUGCAGAUUGAUGAUGACGAGAAAUAUAACCGGAAGCUGGAUUCUGGGCUCUAUACUCUUCAGGCAUCUCUCUCUUUUGUCUUGUUAUUAGCUAUUUUACUUUCUACUGGUGAUUCUUGUAGUUGAUUAUUCUUGUGCUUAUGUAGUUGAUUGCUGUAAUCCUGGGUCACCUUUGGACCUCCGAGUAAGUCUAGCCAUCUUAUACAUUAAUCAAUGAGAGGACUAAUUUCUGGAGCUGUCUUUCUUGCGUUCUGUUUGUAAUUGGUGGAUUUGUCUUUUAUAGGCACCCUCGGAUGAGAGCAAGGAUUGAAUUGCUCUUGAAGCAGCAGAAGUUAACUAAGAAUGAUGUGAAGAAUAUUCUUCAGGUAUUACUUGAACUUUCAAUAAUUCUUCUUCCUCUGCUCUUCCUAUGAAGCCUGAUUCUUUUGGAAGCUUUUGCCUGAGGCAUACCAUUAAUGUUCCUAUUCAAAUUAACGUUUGGGAUAUCCCCAUGGCUUAGCAAGCCUGAUCUAGCUGUUUCUUUUUAUUGAACUUGCAUAUUUAUGUAGUGUUCAGUUGUCAUUUAAAGAAAUGCAGGAUGGAAAUACUUAUUUAAUCAACAUUUGCUUUCUGAUUUUUUAGAUAAAGUACAGCGUGAGAUGUCUGCUCUUAGUUGUUCAAAUAUGCUGUAGAAAGACUUAUUUGUAGAAUGAGGCUGAGGAAGAUCAUUGCUCUGUGUUGUUCAUAUAUGCUGUAGAAAGACUUAAUUCUAUAUGAGGAAGAUCAUGGAACUUGAAUAUGUGUACUUUCUUGGACUUUUGACAAUUUCCUGAGGCAAAGAGUAAAUAUUGAACCUUAACUAUAUGUUGGUGCGGAGAGAUUAUAUAUUUGAUGACAUCAAUUGUGUUGUCUGGUGUGCUUGUUGUACUUUCUAAAGGUUGUUUUUGUUUAAACUCGCAUCAAUUUUAUAAACUCUGAUUUUGUACUCUUUGUUUGUGUCUAUGAAUCACAGGAGUAUCAUGACAAUAUUGGUGACCUCGAUGGGCCAGAAGAGAAAGAAAGGGCUCAGUCAAAGAUCUCCAAAUUCAUCUCCGCCUUAACAUAAUGGCAAGAUUUUUGGCAUAUUCUUGAGGGAAGGGCGUUGUGAUGAAGAUAAAAUUGAUAUUUAGCAAUCCUCCUUGAGAUUCUGUAUUUUGAUCAAUGUAAGCAGAACUAGUUCAAGCCUAUUGUAUGUCAAAUAUUUUAUGCAAUUCAGUAAAAUGACUCGUGUGGGAAAUCAAAUAUUUCUUUCUUUUCUCAAAACCGUUUUAACAUUUUAUUUGCAAUUACCAAUCUAGAUUUGGUAUGUUAAAUCGAGGAUGAGAAAAGAUGUUGUACUCCUCUUUUAUGGAGUUAGGUGUGAUGAGUUGAAAUUGCUGCUGUUUUCAUCGUCAGAACUUUGUUUUCCAGUUUGGUUCUUUGAGCCCAUACUAAUUGUUUUCGAAAUUUCUGAGCUUUCAAUCUUCACUAAAAACUUUUCUAUAUCAUCUGAAAAUGGACCCGGCCACAAUUGGAGUUGAAAUAACUGAAUUUGAUUUGCUGACGCUUAUGAAUUUAAUCGACUUUGUCAAUGUUUUCAUUAAGAAAUGAAUAAUUUUAUUUGACAUAAUCUGCUGAUCUCUCAUGCAUCUUCUCUCCGUUGACUAUCAAUAUAAAAAUAUUUAUUUUGCACAUAUUCAUGUGUUCAUAAAAAUACAAAUAUAAAAGUGAAUAAUUUCACCACAGUCCACUAUAGUUGUUAUUUGUUGGUCAAGAGUCAAGAGUGAAUAAAAUUAUAAUUUGAAAGCAUAGCGACUCUUGGGGCAAAAGCUAUACACUUGUUUAUAAAAUAUAGAAACUAUUUGUUCCAAUCCCCUAAUUACACUUGGUUAUAGGAUUAACUUCAACUCAUCCGAUCUAAUCAAUAUCGGGAAAAGAGGCAUGGCUGGAGUGGAAUUGGUGCCUAAGGAAUACGGAUACGUGGUUCUUGUUGUUGUUGCUUAUUGCUUUCUCAAUAUCUGGAUGCUUGUCCAAGUAGGCAACGCCCGAAACAAGUAAUUUUCUUGGUCACCAAUAUUCUUGUUUUUGGCUUAUGAUUUGGGACUUUGAGUUGUAAUAUCGGCGCAGGUAUAAGGUUUUUUAUCCCACCAUGUACGCUUCUGAAACUGUGAACAAAGAUGCCAAGCUCUUUAACUGUGUUCAGGUGCAGUUGUAAAACAUAGUACUAGUAUAUAUGAUUUGAUGGGUGUUAAAAGUUAAGAAAUGUGGGUGCAGAGAGGGCACCAGAACUCACUGGAACUGAUGCCGAUGAUGUUGGUAUUGUUGAUUUUGGGAGGGAUUAGGCACCCUCUGAUUGCUGCCUCACUGGGAGCUGCGUAUACCCUUACACGCUAUUUCUAUUUCAAAGCCUACUCUACCGGUCACCCCAAAAAUCGCCUUGCAUUUGGGUCUCUUUCUUUCCAUUACAUUAUCUGUUGAUGCAAUUUAAUUUCUUUUAUCAGAUUUUGUGAUACAAUCUCAUGCAGGAAUUCGGGCUUCGUAGCUAUGGUUGGGCUUAUCAUUUGCGCAGUGUCGUCUGGAGUGCAUAUGCUCAUUGCAUGACUUCUUCACCUUUCUCUUACACUUGCUCAGUUUUCAAGGGUGUUGCCUGUUGUUGUACACUUGUUUCAACAUAAUGUAUUUGUAAUAUCAGUUAUAUACUUAUAUGUACUUUGAAUUAUGUUAUUUUGUUAUUAUCGUAUUAAUCGGAGCUGCAUCUAUGAAUCCAACGGCUCAAUUUCAAAAUUAUGGAAAUGGUCACAAAUUCAUAUUUUUAGUCCAACAACUACAUUCAAGUAUUCAACGGUCACAAAUGUAAUACAUAUACAUUUGUUGUCCGACAAUCACAGCAAUUGCAUCCGACAGUCAUAAAUGUUUUGACUAUAUAUAUAAAUGUUUCAUUUUUCAUUGAAGCACAAAACUCUCGGACUUCCUUUCAUCUAGUUCACAACUACUCACUUUUUCAGCCAAACACAACACUUUUUACAAAAUAUUUGAUAUUCCUAGUUCACAUGAAAUUGAUGAAAUGUAAAAGCAAUUCAUUCAAAAUUUGACAAUAAAUCUGAUUAUGAGAGAGAUGAUUGCUAUGGCUGAUGCAGAAGACGCAACAGGGCUCAAACUUCACAAAGGAGAAGCAAUCCUUGAAAAUAUGGGGAUCAGGAGCAUGAAAGCGGCCAUGAUCGUCUUGUUCGUGAUUAUUUAUGUGAUGAACCCUGUACGAAUGAGAUCUUCUUCAUCGUCGAUUCUGAAUGUGAAGAGAAUUAUAUUGAAGUGUCCCACAUUGGAUUGGAGAUAGUGGCAUGAGCCACUUUAUAUGGUAAGACAACCCUCUCCCUUAUAAGGCCUUUUAAGGGAGGAAUGAGCCCAAUAUCCAUUUCUAACAUGGUAUCAGAGCCAACCCAAUCCAAUGAUGGGCCCCCCCAAUAUCGUUGUCAACAGAUGGCGUUUGGGAUAGUCCACGCUGCGCGUGCGGGGGGUGUAUUGAAGUGUCCCACAUUGGAUUGGAGAUAGUGGCAUGAGCCACUUUAUAUGGUGAGGCAACCCUCUCCCUUAUAAGGCCUUUUAAGGGAGGAAUGAGCCCAAUAUCCAUUUCUAACAAAUUAUUUUUCAAGAUUGUAGAUGCGAUGAGCAACUACUCACCAUAUUUCACAUUAAGGCAAGAUGCAAUUGGGAGUAAUGGUCUAUUAACACCUCAAAAGUGCAUCACAUCUAUCCGAAAAUUGGCAUAUGUUGUUCCCUAUAACUCACUGGAUGAGUAUAUGCGGAUGAGUGAGAGUAUUGCAUUGGAAUGUCUAUAUGAAUUUUGUAGGAGCAUGAUUGUCGUUAAUGGUGAUCAAUAUUUGAGAACUCCAAAUGUAGUAUAUACUCAACGCUUGCUACAAAUGCAUGAAGAAGGACAUGACUUCCCAGGAAUGUUAGAGAGCCUUAAUUGUGUGCAUUGAGAGUGGAGGAAUUGUCCUGUCGCUUACAAAUGGUAGUACUAUACACGAGGCGAUCACGAAGUUCCUGCGAUAGUUCAUGAAGCGGUGGUAUCAUCAGAUUUGUGGAUGUCAUGUUUUCAUUGGUACUCUCCAUUAUUUAAUACAUUCUUUCUGGGAAAUGCGCCACCCGUUCAAUUCACGAUAAAUGAUUGGACGUAUAACAAAAUGAUACUAUCUGAUAGAUGGAAUCUAUCCGACAUGGGCUUCAUUCGUCAAGAGUUAUCCAACACCGGGAGAUCCGUAUAGACAAAGAUUUGCGCAGUGACAAGGGCCUGCAAGAAAAGACAUAAAACGAGCGUUUGGAGUGCUACAAGCUCAUUGUACAAUAGUUCAUAGUCCCGCGCGAUCUUAUUUCAAGGAAGAUCUCCGCAAUAUAAUGCUCACAUGUAUUAUUUUACAUAACAUGAUCAUUGAGGAUCAGAGUGAAUAAGCAAUUAACUGGUCUGAAGAAGGUGCAACUCCUAAACACCAAUACCAAUGAGUAUUAAUUGGGAAGCAUUUGAAAAUUAUCUCAUUAGUUACAACGAUUUAAUAAAUAAAGAAGUCGAUCUCCAACUUUAACAUGAUUUCACACAAUAUAUUUGGACACAAUUCAAUGCCAUCGAUCAUUACAAUUAUGGGUGGUAAUUCAGUUCCGGUUAUUCGGUUAUAACCGUAAUUGAACUGAAAUUUUGGUUAAUCGGUUAAUCGAUAACCGAAAUUGACCGAUUCAGUUCGGUUAUCGAUUAUUAAGUUUUAAAUAUACCAGUUAUUCGGUUAAACCUAAUAACCGAUUAAUUAACCGGUUAAAUAAUAAUUAAUACAUAUAUUUAUUACUCCCUCCGUCCCAAUAAUGUUGUCCCAUUUCUUUUGGGCACGGAGAUUAAGGAGUGUUAAAUUAGUGUUGUAAAGUAGAUGGCCCCACAUGUUUAACAAAAAGUAAGUACAACUUAAUUAUUGAAAACAAAUGCCUAAAUGAAGCUCGACUGAUGCAGAUUCAACGAACUCAAACAAGAAUUCAUCCCUAAAAUAUUCUAAUAUUUUACUUAAAAAAAUUAAUUUACCUUUUCUAAGUCUAACCUAAAUAUAAUUUGGAUGAAUCUUGAUUUAUUGCAGCACCAGAAUUGAAUUAUAUGUUGAAUAUUUGCCCACAUUCAUAAUUGGUGCUUUAUAGCUCAACGGGUAAUGAGCGGUUCUGGUUCUGGUCCGGGUAAUAUCCACCCACUGACAUCCCUACCGUGAAACAUAUAAAUAAAGUAGGGUUAAGUAUCAAUUAAGCCCCUAUCAUAGUGGCCCUUUUCGCGUUGGGCUCCCUAUAGUCGAAGUUGGGCCAACUAAACCCCUGUAGUCCAAAAAAUUGAAUAAUUGGGCCCCUAGCCCUAACGGCUGAUAAACGACGUCCGUAUAAUUUUUUUUCUUUCUUUUUUUAAUCGGCGGUGGGUCCCACCUUUAUCGCCUCCCUCCCCUCCCACCCUUCCACCCCUGCGCCGGAAGCCCGAGGAGUCAGAUUCAGUCUCCGAGGGGGCUCAAGAGCCUGGAUCUCGGCGCCGUGGGGUUAGGGAUAGUGGCGGCUCUCGAAAAAUCCGGCGAUGGUAGGGAUGGUAUUCCGGCGUUGUUCGGCCGGAAUUUGACGCGAUCGAGUCCGAUUCCGGUGAAUUCUCCGAAGAAUUGUUGUAGGAGUAGGAGAGAGGCGGAGGAGAUGGAGAUGGAUAGUUUGGAGGAGAGCAAUCGCGCCGCCGUCUUCCACACAAUAGCGCCGCCGUCUUCCACGCGAUUAAGUCUGUGAUUUGGACAUUGCAGGGGAGAGAAAGCAUUCUGCAGCGCAGAUUGCAGGUAUACGCAGAUGGUGAUGGAUGAGCGGAAGGAAAAGUGCAGCUCGGAAGCGUCGAAGCCCGCGGCGGCGGCGGAAGUUGCAGGCUCGCCGUACGCUAACGGCCAGAUGUUCACCGCCGGGAUUCUGGCUAUAUAGAUUUCUGACACGUGAAAUAGAGAGAGAGAGAGAGGGGGCUUUCGGAGGUGGUGAUGCGGGGUCAGGGUGGCUUUCACGGUGGUUCCGGGCUUUGGAGAGAGAGAGAGGGGGCUGAAGAUGCCUUAAACCGCCGCAGAGCGUGUUUCCGGCGACUUUGGCGAGGAAGAAGGCGUGGAUCCCACCACCACCUGCAAAAUUAAAAAAAAAUAGUUAAUGGUGUUAACUUACCGUUAGAGGCGAGGGCCCAAUUGUUCGAAAUUAGGCAGUUUGAGGGUUUAGUUGGCCCAACUUCGACUAUAGGGAUCUAAACGUGAUAAGGGC
rnacentral:lncRNA from 1 species